rnacentral:lncRNA from 1 species
CGGCAAGACUUUGACCAACCGCCGUGGGUUAGGUUUACAGUGGGGAAAAAAAAUAGAAAUUGUGCCUGACUUCAAUGACCGCCACUAUUUGAAGCAAACUGCCCAUCCAAGCCUUAUCAUCCCCUUUAACACCCUAAUGUUUCUGUCCAUGUGGACUUCGACGUGGUCCUCUAGAAUGGUUUUGUACUUCCCCGCGACUCAGCCCACCAGCACCCAGUUGAAAUAAACAGCCAUGUUGCUCACAGAAAGCCUGUUUGGUGAUCUCUUCACACGGACACAUGAAACAUUUGGUGCCAAAGACCCGGGUCAGUGGGACUCCUUUUGGAGACCAGUCCCCUGUCCUCACCCUCACUCCGUGAAGAGAUCCACCUACGACCUCAGGUCCUCAGACCAACCAGCCCAAGGAACAUCUCACCGAUUUUAAAUCAGGACCCCACUAGAAAUUGGACUGUCCAACUGGCCCAAGGCUCUGAUCGACUCCUUCCCAGAUCUCCUCGGCUUAGCAGCUGAAGACUGACACUGCCUGAUCGCCUCGGAAGCCCCUUGGACCAUCACGGACGCUGAGCUUCGGGUAACUCUCACAGUGAAGGAUGAAAGUGAUGCUUACAUUGCCUCAUGAUCUCCUUGGAAGACAUCCAGCUCUCCCCAUGCUGUUCAGUUGGUGCUGCACAUUGUCCUCCCCUUACAUCUGUGCCCUUGGCCAUCAGGACUUCUCUCGCUUUUAAGAGACUGAAGGUGCAAUUCCAGGGAUUUCCAUCCAGGUACAGGUGCCUGAGGUGAGGCAGACCCUCUAAGGCUUUUAGGUCUAAGGCAGAGAUCUUAUUGUUCCUCAGGUUUAGAACAUGAAGCUGCUUGAGGUCCUUGAUCUCCCGUUCAGCAAUAUUCUGGAUGACAUUGCUUUUUAGGUCCAGCCUGGUUAAGGUCCCUGGGAGCCUGCAAAGCAUGGAAACAGGAUGUGAGAGGAGGCCAUGCCCAUCAUUCCACAACUGUCAGGGCAACAGUAACUGAGCAGCAUUGCCUUUUCGUACAGCUCUGUCUCUUCUCAAGCUAGGAAACAAGAUUUAUUUGAGAAAAUUAAUUAUAAGCACAAAUCUCAGUGUUAGUCUAUGGAUCUUUAACUUUUUCUCAUAGAUCUUAUGUUCUAACCCUCUGAUUUUUCUGGCUCCUAUUCAUAAAAUCUUUAGUUUUUUUUCUUGUGAAAUGAGAUCACUCAAACAAAUUGAUAAGAAAAACACUAAGUUCCCCAUUUCUAAGGUGGCAAAGGCCAUUAAUCAAUAAUUUACAGAAGCAGUAAAAAUGUCAAAUAAAAGUAUGAAAAAGUGUUGCUCUUCAUGAAUAUAAAAGGCAAAUGAAAAAACGCAAUAUUUUAAUAUAGCAAAUUAAAACAUGGCUUUAAUUUUAAAACACUGCUGCUGUAGGUAUAGUAAAUACUGUUGGUAGAAGUGUAAAUUGGUACCGUUUAGGAAACAAUUUAGUAAUAUGUAUCAAAUUUAAUUAAUAUCAUGCCUUUUGACCUAGGAAAUAAUAGAAAAAGUAAAUAUUGACAAAGAUGUUUGUCACAUAUUUGAUAUUUAUAACAGCAAAAAAAAGACUAAUGCUCAAUGAUUUUAAAUUCUGAGAUGAUGGACUAUUAUGUGGUUACAAAAAUCAUGGGUUUUGAUUUUUUUUUUUUAAUACAGGGUCUGUCUCUGUGGCCCAGGCUGGAGUGCAGUGGUGAGAUCUCGGCUCACUGCAACCUCUGGCUCACCAGCUCAAGUGAUCCUCCCACCUCAGCCUCCUGAGUAGCUGGGACCACAGGCACACACCACCACACCUGGCUAAUUUUUUCUAUUUUUGGUAGAGACAGGGUUUCAUCAUGUGGCCCAGGCUAGUCUGGAACUCCUGGACUCAAACAAUCCACCGACCUCAGCCUCCCAAAGUGCUGGGAUUACAGGUGUGAGUCACCGCACCUGGCCUGAUGUUUUAAAAUAAUUUUUUAAAUAACAGUUAUACGAAAAAGCUUUUGUAACUAUGACUAAAAAAAUCUAGAAGCUAUAAAAAAUUGAUAAAGCAUCAACAUUAAAAAGAAUUUUAAAAGAAAUUGUGUAUAGCAAAAGACAGGCAAAGUCAAAAGACAAAUGAUAAACUGGGGAUAAGCAUGAUGUCUGCACUUUAUAUCAAACAAAGAAUCUCCUUAAUAUACAAAAAGCCCUUAAAAUUGAGAAGAAAAGAUUAUAAAAUAAAACAGAAAAAUGGGCAAAAAACAAAUGGAAGUUCACAUAAAAAGCAAAGCAAAGGGCCCCCAACUCUUCAACUUUAUGCAGAACAGAGAAAUUAAAUUAAAGCUACACAGAGAUGCCACUUAACACUUAACAGAUUGGUAAAAAUUCUAAGCUUUAGCAAUCUGGUCUGCGAACAAAGCUGUGAAGAAACAGAUAUUCUCAUAUAUUGCUCAUGGGAGUCUAAAAUGGCACAGCCCGUAUGGAGAAAAAUUUAGCAAAACCUAACAAAAAAAAUACAUAUUUAUCCUUUAGACCAGCAAUCUCACUUCUAGGAAUACACCCUGAAGAUAUGACUUUACAAAUAUAAACAGUAUGUGUGGCAUUUAUUAUGAUAUUAUUUAUAACAGCAAAAGAUUGGAAGCAACCCAGUACAUUAGUAAAGAACUACUAUGCAGCCUUAAAAAAAAUAAAAUAAUAAAAAAAGAGGCUGGUCUCUAUGAAUUACCAUGAAGUGAUUUCCAGAAAGUAUUGUUAAAGAGAAAAAAAGCAAGAAACAGAGCAGUAUAUAUAGUACACUAGUUUUUGUGUAAGAAAAGGAGAAAUAAGAAUUACAUAUACACGUUUACUUAUUUGGGGCAACUGAAGGAGAAUGAUAAACCAGAAAUCAAUAAAAAUGGUUACAUAUAGGGAGUGGUUGGUUCCAUGUGAUUUUAACUUUUCAACCAUGUUAAUGUUUUACAUGUUCACAAAAACAAAAUCAAGUCCUAAAACUGAAAACAAACAGGAACAAGCAUAUCUAAUUAAUUAAUCCAAUGUUUAUAUUUGUAACAUAGUCGUACAGAGAAAAGAAAAAGUACUCUGACUGAACAACCUUAGUGGAUAUAUUUAAGCCUUAGAUUCCAAGGACAAAAAGAUCUCGAAAUUUCUCUUAGUAUGUUUAUUGUUAAUACUAAUUUUAAUAAUGAAAUUUUGAAAUUUUUUAUGAAUAUUAUCUGGCAAAACAAAUAAGUAAAUAUAUUCAUGUCAUUAGGAAACUAUACUUUCAUUGUAAGAGAAAAAGAUAAAAAUAUAAAAUAAAAUAAAGAAAACCCUCUCUGAUGUUAAAUAUGAAUUGAAAAUGUCAAUGUGAAUUCAUAAUUUUAAAAAAUAUAUUUUCUAGCUCUUGUUUGCUGAAAGGACCUAGAAACAAUAUUAUAUUCUAGUAGCAAUGCUACCCCAAUGACAUGAGCACACCAAGCACACAGAUCUUAGCUGCUGAAUUCCAAUCUUUACUGGAAAGAACCAGAGCUUCUUGGAGAAAUGACUGAUUCUGUGUCUAGGGAAAAAAAACCCGCAGAGUUUCUCAGCCAGAAUGUGAUAAAAUUUUUAAGGAUUAAUGGAACACCCAUUGGGAUGACUACUGUCAAAAUAAUGGAAAUAAAAAGUAUUGGCAAGGAUGUGGGGAAAUUAGAAGCCUUUUGCACUGUUGGUGGGAAUGUAAAAUGGUGCAGCUGCUGUGAAAAUAAUAAUUUUUUAUUUUUAAAAAACUAAAAAUAGAAUUAGCAUAUAGUUUAGCAAUUCCACUUCUGGCUAUAUAUCCAAAAGAACUUAAAGUCUUGAAGAGAUAUUUGUACCUCCAUGUUCAUAGCAGCAUUCUUCACAAUAGCCAAAGGUAUAAGCAACCCAAGUGUCCAUUUAUAGACAAAUAAAUAAACCAAAUGUGGUCUAUACAUACAAUGGAGUAUUAUUCACCCUUAAAAAGGAAGGAAAUUUUGACACAUGCUACAGCAUACAUAAACCUUGAGGAUAUUAUAUUAUGCUACAUGAAAGAAGCCAAUCACAAAGACAAAUACUAUAUGAGUCCACUUAUGUGAAAUAUCUAGAAUAGUCACAUUCAUAGAAACCUAAAGUUAGAAAGUAGAAUGGUGGUUGUCAGGGGCUAGAAGGAGGGGAAUACGGAGAGUUUUGUAAUAGGUAUAGAGUUGUAGUUUUGUAAGAUGAAAACUUCUGUAGGUUGGUUGCACAAGAAUGUGACCACACUUAACAUCACUGAAAUGUACACUUAAAGAUGAUAAAUUUUACCUUAUGUGUAUUUUACCACAACUAAAAAAAAAAAAAAAAAAGAUUAAUGGAGUCAUGUCUCAUGAACAGAGGAACUACCUUGGAGGGGCUCCCACUAGCCAUAUUUGUGACAAUUUGGGCACCAAAAGAGACUAGCAACUGUAAGUGAUCAAAACAUACCAAAUAAAUUAAAAUCCAUGGGUCCAUAGUGAUACUUGGGAAAAAAAACAGAAAAGGAGAAGAGAGAGAGAAAAAAAACAUUAUGUUAAGUGGAAAAAGUAGAAUACAAAAUUGAAUGAUCCCAAAUAUGUAAAAACAAAUUAUGUGCUUUUGUCUAGACAAAGGCUCUGGUUGAACAAUUCUGGAUGAUUUUUUAAUUUUUCAGCAUAUUAAGUUUUCAAACUUGAACAGCUAUUGCUUUAUAAUCAGGAAGAAAAUACAGGUUUUUUAAAACUGUGAAUGUCAAUUUGAAAAAUGUCAUGCUCAUGCCUGUUGAUUUAAAAAUAGGAAACAAUCACAAUGGUGAACGUGAAAAUCUUUUUCCUACACAGAAACUUUGUAGUAAGUGCUUUCCUUUUUAUGAAAUACAAAACAUCUGAAAGUUUAAUAGGGAAAAAAAGCCCUUCAAAUUGAAAUACCACCUGAAUGCUAUUUUCAUACAAAGUGAACAUACUGGAUAUAUAUUCAUGAAUUUUAGUAUUCAGUGUAGUUUAUUGUGGCAGUCCCAGUUAUAGAAGUGUUAUAUCAAAAAGAGAAAACAAAUAGGUUUAGCCAUAUUCUAUGCCAAUAUUAUCUUUUGCUUGUUAUAGUAUUGUUAUUACAUGUAUUUUAUCCCAAAAGGUCAGUAUUUUGGGUUUUUAGCACUUAGCCUACAUUUUGCCUUCGAGGUUUUCUUUUUUAAACUAAAUUUGUCAUUUUAUAUUUGUAAUCAUAUCCUAUACAGUAGUAUGUACACAUAAGUAUUUACGCUUUUUGAGUAAAAAUACUCAAUCAUUUAAAGUGUCUUCUUCCUAGAUAGAAUAAAUUUUACCUAAUAAAGUAGGUUAAUUUACCAGGGAAAAUCACUUUAUGCCUUCUAACAGUUUGAUAAUUAAAUUCAAUUCAAAGUUAAUGUCCAAGAAAAUAUAAUUUUGUGCACACAUCAGCUUAUCUAAGGUGAAUUUCUAAGUGGUAUACAGAAAAUCUCUUAUGUAUAGGUUCCCCCCUGCCAAGGAAAAAUAGAUUAUUGUUGGAUUGUGUAGUAGUAAGCAAGACUUUGUUCCCAUUGCAGAAGACAAUGAAGCCUAACUGGGAAAGAUCCACUAGAGUAAACAGGUGUCAAAAAGUCCCAAUGUAUUAAGACUUGUGUUCUAACUUAAGCCAUUCUGUUUACCACUGUGUGGUUUUAGGUAAGUCAUUUUGCUUCUUAAAGAUCCUAAUUUUCCACCCUACAGAUGAACCAUUCAGUACACAGAAGUCCCAUAACCAAUGUUAAGAGAAUGAAAAUGAGCAAGUCAAGUUUUCUAGGAAACAAAUACAAUUAUCCAGUUCUUGGAUAUGUAUCCAAAAAUUGUGCCUGUUCUUAGCUUGCCUUUUUUUUUUCCUGUCUUGUUUGUAUGGAAGUCAUCACCAAAAUGACAUUGUAAGAGAAAUCACUAUUUAUCCUGGUUUUGUGACUUUCUGACAGCCACUUAUUGCUUUGAUAUAAUUUGUCUUUAUAAGUCUGACUUAUAUUUUAAAGUAGCUCUGAUUUUAAAAUAAACAGUUUUCUAGAAAUGCUAUCAUGUUCUUUGGGUAGCUAUUGCUUUUUAGAGUAAAAAGGGUCACAGCCCAUUUUGCAGUAGAUAGCAGUUGGGUGUAAGAUAAAAUGCUAUGUGCAUUAGGUUGUAAGAAGCCAUUCUAGAUUUCAAUUAUCUGAAGAGUGGAUAAAAAGAGAUAAUUAAUUUAUAUUUAUUCACUAAGCUGCAAUUGAUGAAAUAUGAAGCAGCAACAAUUGAAGUCCAGUUCCUGGGCAUUUGAAGUAGUAUAGUUAUUUUAUUGACAGUAGAGUAAAUCCUAGAGGCAGGACUAUGCAGUGGCUAAACUUCCCUGGCUCUGGAGUUAAAACUACUGUGUUUAAAUUCUGACUAUGAAUUUAAACUAUGAAUAUGACUAUGAAGUUUCUGAAUACCUCUAAGCCAUAACACCCUAGUCUGUAAAUUAUUAGGUAAACCAGUGUACCUACCUUCACAGAAUUAUUGUAUGUUUCUAAGUUCACUGCUGAUUUUAGUAAGCAAUUAAUAAAUGUUAGGUAUUAUUUUCUAUCUCAAUUAGUGUAAUGAGGCAAAUGUAGUAGGUCUUUGAAUAUAUGUGUACCUAAAACCAUAUACUACUAUUUUCUUGAUGAAAUGUAGAAUGGAGGAUGGUAGGCAAAAGAAAAGAUAUGCCGAAAUAUCGUUGGUGAUAGAAGCAGGUUGCCUGUGUUAAUAGUUUACUUGUAGAAAACUGAAUUGUAUAUUAUAGAUACUGUGUAUGAAGAAGAAGUAUGCAAAUUUUUAAAAGUUGUAAUGUUUAAAGGCCAUAAGUAAAAAUUUUUAAAUUAAAAUAUAAGGAAUAGAUAUUAUGAUGUUUCAAGUUUUAACUUUUUUUUUGUUUGUUUUUUGAGACAGGGUCUUGCUUUUUCACCCAGGCUGGAGUGCAGAGGCACAAUCAUGGCUCACUGCAGCCUCAACCUCCAGGGCUCAAGCAAUUCUCCUACCUCAGCCUCCUGUGUAGCUGGGACCACAGGCAUGCACCACCACAUCCAACUAAUUUUUUUAAAAACUUUUGUAGAGAUGGGAUCUCACUAUGUUGCCCAGGCUAGUUUUGAACUCCUGGACUGAAGUGAUCUGCCUGCCUCAGCCUCCCAAAGUGCUGGGAUUACAGGCAUGAACUACUGUGCUCAACCAUGUUUUAACUUUUAGUGAGAGGAAAACCACAGGGAAAACUUACUGGGUCUUUCCCACUUCUCAAUCAAAACAAAAAAGAGCUGAGGAGUGGAGGCAGUGUUGAUAGGGGUAUUUCAAAGCAAAGAACUUUGCUAUCACAGCUGUCCAAGUACUUUGACAGAGCAGACAGUUGUGUUGCUUAAUUUAAGCAUCACAGGAAAAGCCCACUCCUACCUCAUGUUACUGGCCCCAUUGUCCUUGCAAAGUAGCUCUUGAUCCUAGCUGCACAUUAAAUUCAUCUGGGGAGGUUUUCAAAAGUAGUGAUGCCUGAGUCCAGGGGCAUCUGAUUUAAUUGGUUUGAAGUGAGGCCUAGGUAUAAGUAUGCUUUUUAAAAAUAUUUCUCCAUAUAAUUCUAAUGUGAAGCCAGAUUUGAGACCUAUGGCUAGCUCAUGCUUGCAAUUCCACUAUACAUUCCGUUGGGUAAAACAAUGUGCUUUCUGUAGUCACUUGUUAAAACACAAAUACUCUGACAAGAGUAAAUAAUUAAGCUACUUUUUCCACUCUUAAAACUUAGCAGGAUUACUCAACAAAAUUCUUUCUAAAAGUCACUUGAGUAGAAAAACCCACCAAGUUCACAAUAUUGCCCAUGGCUGUCAUAGCCUGCUGUCACAUCUAUUACAUUAUAUAGUUACUGUCUAACCUGUUGUAUGAGUUUUUAUUUUAUACACUAUUUUUUUUCCCUUGGAGUUGGGGCAGUCAGUAAUUAAAAAAUAAGGCUUGUGGCCAGGCGCGGUGGCUUACGCCUAUAAUUCCUGCACUUUGGAAGGCCAAGGCGGGAGGAUCACGAGGUCAGGAGAUGGAAACCAUCCUGGCUAACACGGUGAAACCCUGUAUCUACUAAAAAUACAAAAACAAAAUUAGCCAGGUGUGGUGGCAGGCGCCUGUAGUCCCAGCUACUCGGGAGGCUGAGGCAGGAGAAUGGUGUGAACGCAGGAGGCGGAACUUGCAGCCAGCCGAGAUCGAGCCACUGCACUCCAGCCUGGGCGACAGAGCGAGACUCCAUCUCAAAAUAAAUAAAUAAAUAAAUAAAUAAAUAAAUAAAUAAAUAAAUAAAUAAAUAAUAAGGCUUGUAACAUAGUCAAGAAGUUAUUUAAAUAAAAAGUAGUAGAAUCUUGAGACACCACAAGUGUGUUUUCGCCUUAGGGCCUUUGAAUUGGCUGUUCUCCUGUCUAGAAAACUUUCUCCCAAAUAGCUUCGCAGCUAAAUCCCUCACCUUCUUCCAGUCUUUGCUCAAAAGUUAUGUUUUCAUGAGGGUUACCUUUCUUACCUUAUUUAAAAUUGCAACCAGCCACCUCACCCACUACACUCUUGAACCUGAUAAUCAUGCCUUUUUUUGUUGUAAGCUAUAAUAGCUAAUAUAGUUUGAAUAUCAUAUAUUUUACUUAUGUAUUAUGUUUGUUAUCAGUCUUCCCCUGCUAGAUUUUAAACUGUAUACAAUAGGAAGUUUUAUCUCUUUUAUUACAUUGAUGUAUCCCAAGUGUCUGGUAAAAUACCUGGCACAUGGUAAGUGCUCAAAAGAUAUUGAUUAAAUUAAAGCAAUUGUAUAUUUAUGCUUAUGCAGUAAAAGAAAUCACUUACUUUGAAAUCACCUUCAAUAUAUAUUUUGAAAUACUGAUUUCUCUUGGAAACAUCACUUUUUGAUGUUUUACACUGAGUACAGUUACCAUACUAUAUAAUUUAAAAAUCCCCUUUUCAACUAGAAAAAAGAACAUCUCUACAUAUCAAAGAUAAUUUUCCCUUUUUUAUUGAUAAAAACUUAUUAUAGGCUGGGACUAUAAUUAGGGGCUCAUGCCUAUAAUCCCAGCACUUUGAGAGGCUGAGGUGGGAGGAUCACUUGCUCCCAGGAGUUUGAGACCAGCCUGGGCAGUAGCAAGAACUCAUCUCUAAAAAAAAAUUAUUUUAAUUAGCCAGACAUGGUGUAUGCCUGUAGUCUCAACUACUCAGGAGGCUGAGGGGAGAGGGCUGCGUUAACUCAGGAGGUUGAGGCUGCAGUGAACCAUCAUCACCCCACUGCACUCCAGCCUGGGUGACAGAGUGAGACCCUGUCUUAAAAAUAUAUAUAUUAUAAAACACAAUAAAAUUAGGUAAAUAGAAUACCACAGGAUUCUACAGAAACCACAAGUUAGUAUAUUAAUUAUGAGAAAUUUGAUAAUGCUAAUAGCCAGGGCAAGAAGCCUUUUAUUUUUUCAAUAAAGUGCUGAAAGGAAAAAAAGAAUCCACUGGUAGACAAACAUAGUAUCAUUUUAAAGAGAAUAAUAGUGAUUCAUCCUACAUUUUAAAAAUUUAUCUACUUUAAAAUGUGGAACAUAAAAUAAAGUUUAAAGAAAUAGGAUCAACUAAUACAAACACAUGUUGCAUUAAUUAUAAAUUAUGAGUAGUUAGGGGGAACAGGUGCAGCAGGUUGGGUAUAAACAGAGGGAUAUUCAGGAACAGAAAUUGUCUGAGUGUGAGGGCGUGCUUGUGUGUGUGUGUGUGUGUGUGAGAGAGAGAGAGAGAGAGAGAGAGAGAGGGAGACAGAGAGAGAGAGAGAAAACUGAAGAGAUAACCAAAACCAGAAGGUAAGACCAACCUGGUGGACUCACCCACUCAUACAGACAGACACACAGAGAAAUAACCAAAGCCAGCUUAAGCUCUUUAAAGGUCACAGCACUGAAAAGAAUAUGAGGCUCCCCAACAAGUAAUUCAAAAUAAAUACAAUAUUACAUUGUAAAGUUUUAAUUUUCCCCCAAUAACUACUACUUCAAUGCAUUUUAAAUUAUAAAUAUCUUACUAUAUUUUCCCCCUUAUUUUUUCCUGGUGUCCUUGUUUUGCUAAUAGCUAAGCUCAGGCCUACUGACUGUUGAUUAUCCAGGCAAUACACAGUAUGAAACUGAGACACAAUCUUUACAGUGUCUUCAUAUUAUGUUUGCUAAUAGAGAUAUCACCUGUUGGUGUCUUGUUGAAAGGUGAAGCUGGCUGGGCUUCUGGGUCUGGUGGGGACUUGGAGAACUUUUCUGUCUAGCUAAAGGAUUGUAAACCCACCAGUCAAAACUCUGUGUCUAGCUAAAGGUUUGUAAAUGCACCAAUCAGCACUCUGUAAAAACGCACCAAUUAGCACUCUGUGUCUAGCUAAAGGUUUGUAAGUGCACCAAUCAGCACUCUGUAAAAUGGACCAAUCAGCACUUUGUAAAAUGGACCAAUCAGCAGGACGUGGGUGGGACCAAAUAAGGAAAUAAAAGCUGGCCACCUUAGCCAGCAGCAGCAACCCGGUUGCGUCUCUUUCCUUGCUGUGGAAGCUUUGUUCUUUCGCUUGCAGUAAAUCUUGCUGCUGCUCACUCUUUGGGUCCACGCUACUUUUAUGAGCUGUAACACUCACUGCGAAGGUCUGCAGCUUCACUCUUGAAGUCAGCAAGACCACGAACCCACAAGAAGGAAGAAACUCCGGACACAUCUGAACAUCUGAAGGAACAAACUCCAGACGCACCAUCUUUAAGAGCUGUAACGCUCACUGUGAGGGUCUGCGGCUUUAUUCUUGAAGCCAGCGAGACCAAGAACUCACUGGAAGGAACCAGUUCUGGUCACAUUGUCCCAUAGACAAGAUAGAUAAAGUUAGUGCAGUAGUGAGUUUGAGGGCUGGAGAUUCCACACCUCUGUUUAAAACUUGUAUCCCUGAAUCCUUGUGUAGCCUUGAUCAGAUAAUUCACGUUUGCUCUAAGUCUCUUGCUUAUAUAAUGUGCUGAAUUGUCCAAAUCUUCAGAAAAUUUUUAUGGUAGCUACAAUAAAUGAAAACACUCACUCACCUUAGGGGUAUGGACAACAGCAGAUUCUGCUCCAGCGCCAGGUUGGAGAGCUGAGAACACCUCUGCAGGGCUCCAGCUUCGAAGAAACUCGCAUUGUUGUUGUCCAGAAUCAAAUGUUUCAAGUCUUGGAGGUCCUGGAAGUCUUGUGCUGUUACUCUCUGAAUCAGAUUAUUGCUACAAUCAAGUUUUUGUAGCUUUACUGGUAGUCUGAAGGGCAAUAUUUGGAGCUGGUUUUGGGACAGCUCAAGAGCAGUUAAAUUGGUAAGGAACUGUGCCCCAUUGAUGGAAGAGAGUAAGUUUUCUGACAGGUAAAGAUGGGAAAGAUUCUCCAAGUGUCUUGUGUCUCAAAACCUUACUAUUCUGAGGUGGUUUCUUUCCAUCUUUAAAGAUAGCAAGGAUUUGGGUAGAUUGAUAGGAACUUUAGUCAGAAAGUUACCACUGAAACUGAGAAAUUGCAAAGACUAUAGAAGAGUGAAGAAGCUAUUGUAUAAGAUGUAGCUUAUUAUUCUCCAGGCUCAUAUGUGUCAGAUGGGGAAGUAUCAGGGGUCCAGCUAUGGCCUCCACGUUGUUACCAUCCAACAUCAAACUUUGCAAACUGACAAGGGAGGAGAAAGUGCUGGGAGAGAGGGAAGAGAUCAGGUUGUUUUUAAGUUUGAGGAAUUUUAAUUUCUUAAGUCCUUCAAAAUCUGAUCCAUGUAGGACAUUUAUUGAGUUAUCAUUUAGUUUUAACACUUCAAGACUGGCUGGGAGAGCACUAGGGACUCAACUUAUUUUUCCAGAGUUCUAAGGUCUUCAAAGUACUCAGAGUUUUGAGGGUGUCAUUUUCUACUGACUCUGUUCCACUGGCCAGCAGAAUAGAAUCUUCUAAAGCCUACAUUCAGGUGAAGUCAGACAGCUACAAAAAAUGUGGAGGCAGGGAAGGGGAAGAAAAAGCAAUAAAUGAAUAUUGUUUAAGAAAUACCAGGUACACUGUCAUUACAAUACUAAUAAUACUUCAGAUUUUCCUUCAGAUUCUAUUUUAAAUUAUAUCUUGGAAAACGGUUGAAACUCAGAUCCUGAAUAUUUUUAUUUAUGAUUGAUAACAUCAGUGUAAGGUAUGAAAAAUAUUCUAAGCACUUUCACACAUCAUUGAUAGAGACAUAUUAUUGGCCAACUUUUACUGCAUAUUCUCUGACCCAGCAAAUUUACUUAUAGGCAGAGAUACUUAACAAAUUGCAAAAUGAUUCAUGCACUAGGAUGUUCUUUGUUGUAUCAUCUCAUAUUAGCCAUAAAUUGAAACAAUCUGGAAAUCUUUCACCAAAUUGUUAGUAGUUUCUAAAUCUAGAGGGUAAGAUUACAAAGGAUUUUCACUAGCUACAUUUUGCAUUGUUUAACAUUAUGAAUCACACGUUUUAAAAAGGCAUUAAAAAUUACAAAAAUGUAAGUGUCCCAGUCUGUUAUCACUAGGAUGCACUUAACUGAAAACACUUUCAACUAUAUUGUAUUUUGGAAAAUGAGCCUACCUGUUUUCUAUACCCAAUUUUCACUUCACCAAUGAAAAAACUUCAUAAAGAGACAAAUGUAUACAUGUUAUCUCCCUCCGUCUCUGCAGAGCAAAGAGUUCAUUCAUGCAUAUAUUCCAGACCUAAUGCCACCCUUCCUCUAGAAUUUAGAUAUUUCCCAAAACUGAUAUACUUUCUUCGUGUUUUGUAAAUUCUCCUGUCUCUCUACAUGCCUGUCAACCUCUGAGCUUAAUACCCAUGUCUUUUUCUGAAUGAUGUAAUGAUCUUUAUUUGGUGCUACGAGUAAGGUUAUGUUUAAGCAGAAAAAGGAAUUGUUCCAUGUUUUCUUCGGGUUGAUAAAUCUUCAAAAAAUUUUCAAUCUGCCUUAGAAUUCAAUGAAGCUGCAAUUUUCAGUAUACAAUUUCACGUGUCUUACUAUCCACAGUUUUUAAAUAUUUGACUUAAUUAUGCAGUUGAGCACUUUUAUAAUACCAGUACAUACCAGUACAUGAUUAACACCUUCAAAGUGAGUUUAUUUUGUAUCAUAUAUUUAUUAUAGGUACUUAUAUUCUUGGAGGAUAUGUGAUGUGAAUUAUCGUGUAUUUUUAAACAUCUCUAAUAUGUUACUCCAUUAGGAGACUCUCCAGUUAAAAUUUCCAUAAAUGAAUAUUUUUAAUCAUAAUGGUUUCGGCAGUUGCCUUGGGUUACAUAUUGCUGCUAACAUUUUAUAUUUUCUUAAUGAUUUAUCAGUUAUAUUGAAUAGUCCUAGUCCCAAUAAUGAUAGAGAUUUUAUUCUUGCAUUAAUUGAGUAUCUAAGAGUGCCACGUGCUUUUUUAUAUAUCACCAAUCCCCUAAUAACCCAGCAACUUUACUAUUAUCAACACUGGCUUCUAGAUGAGGAGACUAGGAGAACUAGAAUGUGAAAGAAUUCAGAAUUUCAGCAAGGUCUAUUGAACUGCAAACCCCUUUCUUCCUUAGCUACACCAUUUUCUAAAGCAUUUUCUAUUGCAUUUGGCCUGUAAUUAAUGUUUUUCAAAAGAGGCUCAAGAUCUAGACACAAAUCACAGAGCUUUAAAAAAGCAGAGAUUUUAGGGAUUAACUAAUCUAAAUCUCCCAUUUCAGGAAUAAAGAAUUUCAGGCCCAAGAAGUUAAAUAACCUGCUGAAGACUCAGUGUUCUUUACACUUCAUUCUGAAAUGCCUUUUUGUAGGCUUAUCUUUUAUAUAAAGUCAGAAAUGUCUCUAGACAUAUAUCUUUAUGUCUUGGACUGUUGAGAUCCGCCAAAAAGAACUGGGUAUUAUAUUUCAACUUAUAUCUGAGUGACAAUAAACAAAAAAUGAUUACUAACUAUGCAGUAAGUCUCAGAGAUGACAUGGAUCAGAAUGGGCAAUUUAUUUUGGGAAUGGACAAGGGAUGGUGUCAAAGCUUCAAUUUGUCUUGAUUUCUAUUUAUGAAGUAUACAGACUGAGCUAAAUAGACUUCAUAUUCUUAAAUCACUAUUAUUAAGCAUAGAAAGCAUUUUCUUCUUUUUUUUUUUGGUCAGGGUCAAUAGAGAUUACAUUUAAUUAUUAAUUAAAAUGGCUACAAUUUUAGAAAUAUUUACUAUAUUUAAUUUUUACAAAGCCCUAUGUAUAAGCAUAAUUAUUCCAUUUUCAGAGAGGGAAACUAAGGCUCAAGAAAGUGGAAUAACCUGUCCAAGUAUAUCCUUUUCUAGUGGAAAAGUUGGGCUACUAACCCAGGUUUAUCUUACCCCAGUGCAUAUAUUUUUAGCCUUACAGCUAUAACAUCCUUUAGCUGAAGAAAAUAGAAUUAUGGUGCCACAUAACAAUGAGGAAGACUCCUGCUGACUUUCAACUUUUCAGUUGGGUUUGCAGAGCUGACAAAGGGAAAAAAAUUAUGCCAGACCCAUUUUUCCAUUUCCAUGGCUUAAGCAGGGCUUCACACAAGAUAUGUGGAAAGAGAUGCUUUUGCCCUAGAGCUAACCUUGGGGCUACUGGCAGCUUUUCCAAUAUUGCUUAAAAAGCAAGGCCAGUAAAAUGAAGUAGAGCACAGGAUAGCUCCUGCUAGCUUCUCCAGGAAAGGCUUUGUUUCUGGUUUCAAUCCUAGGCAGACCCUGCUCCAAGUAGUAAAGGGAACACACCCUUUUCUGGCUCCUGAUAGAUCCAAUGUACAACGAAACUGACAUACACACAAAGCGAUGGUUUCAGACCUGUGUGAAACAAGCCAGGAAUGAGUUUGUAAAACAAUGUUGGAUUUUUUUCCUGAUCAUCAAACAACAUUUUUUCUCUACAAACAAUUUUUAAAUUCUGGAAAAUGUAGAGAGAAUAUAAAAUAACCCAUUAUCCCCCCAUUCAGUUUAUGUAUUGUUUAUGUAUUUCUUAGGAAGAAUUUGAAGAAGCUUCUUGUCUUCCACAAAAGAUGUAAAGUACUAUCAUUUUAACUGACUGCUACCAUAACUACAUUCCCAUUUGUCUUCUACCUCUGAAGAGAAUAUAUCACUUUGGCUUAUCCAUUUGAAUGGCAAUAGUGAAGUAAACUUAAUGAUUUUUUACACAUGUGGACACAAAGUACGAACCAAAACUACAAUCCUCUAAAUAGAAAUGACUUGGGUCACCUAGCAUAUUGUCCAUUUGGUAUCACAUGUAAUCAGCUAUUCGUUGUGUCUUUCACUCAACACAGUUAAGCAGUUCAUCAUGGCUUGAGACUGAAGUCCAAGUUAGUGAAUAGCAACAGAACAGGACAGAGGGGAACAAAAGAAUAAAGCUGAAUUCCUUUCUUAUGCCAUACCCAAAAAUUAACUCAAAAUGGAUCAUAGACCUAAAUGUACAAACUAAAACUGUAAAAAUCUUAGAAUAAAAUAUAGGCAUUACAUUUUCAUGAACUUGGAUUAGGUAAAGCUGGCUUAGAUAUGACACCAAAUGCAUGAGUGACAAAAGAAAAAUAGAUAAAUUAAGUCAGGUGUAAUAGCUCAAGCCUGUAAUCCCAGCACUCUGGAGGCCAAGGCAGGUAAAGAGCAGCUAGUAAAGAAAGAGCAGCUGAAUAUAUGGGGGUGCAGAAAGUUAGAGAGCAAGGUCUGGAGAGAAGUGUGAAGGAUAGAAUCAAGGGCCUUGAAUACAAGGAGAGACAUGUCCUCUCCGGAGAAAAGAGUUUGCAAAAGUGGAUGGAGACAAAUUUGUACACAGUGAGCAGGGACUGAGGGAGAUCAAGUUUUGUCAUGAUUUGUCAAUAAAAUGGGAGGCCAGCUAUUCAUUGAGAAUGAGGAUGGCAGGAAUUGAGUAUGCAACCCAACACUCUACCGAAGUUUUGGAAGAUAUUGAAUGAUUCUGUAAAUUCAAACCCAAUAAAUAGAAUGUACAUUGUAUUUACCAAAUGCAAGUGAGAUAUGGUCACUUAAAACCUAUGCAAGUGAGACAUGGUCACUUAAGACCUAAGUAUUUUUAAAAGAGAAGUAUCAUUGGUCAGAACUUUCAUCAACAAAAAGAGCUUUCCUUUUCCUUAACAAAACAAUCCUGUCUUUUAUUACGUUUCUGUUGUGAACAGUCCUUCCAAGAAAUAAUUACCUAGCUUAAAGUCAGGGAAGUGGCAAUGCUGCUAUUCAGUGAAACUAAACCAAUGACAAAUUGACUCAUCCAAUAACUGAAUUUAAUAAGGGGCAUAAUUUUAUCUUAUUGGCUACAAAGUACCAUUGUAUAAUCAUUACUAGGAUUAGUUCACCUUCUGCUCAAUAAGCAUGUCAAGUCCUCAGAGCAAAUAUUUAAGUAGCUUACCCUUUAACCAGGUGUCUUGCUUGAACAUUUACACUUAAUGGUGUCAGACUUGCUAUCUGGUGUUAGACACUACAGGGUUAGAAGAGGAAAGCAAACAGAUGGAGACAAGACAACUGUGUUUAUUGAGCCAGGAUCUAAAUACCAUGCCACAUAUUCAAAACUCUAUGUGUUUAUGGGACACUCAUAUGAACAUUUCUUAACCAAAUUAAAGGGAUGGUGUCUCUGUUUGAAGGUAAGGUACACUCACCUGCUGCCUCUCUGCACCUGGCUCACAGAGAGGCAUUUCUUUGUCUUAGGAUUUGGAUCUUUGAGGGAGAAGCAGUGAAUAGUAAAGGGAAAAUUAGAGAGCCAUAGAAUUUUCCAUCUGGAAGGGGCCUUCCAUCUGGAAGGGGCCUACAAAUAUUAAGGCAGCUGUUAUUUUCUUCUGAAGUUUAAGCUGUCUAGCUUCAGUUUGCAGGGCUUUAUGAAAGCACAGCUUAGUUGUCAGUGACUCUGAAUUAGGAAAAAUGGGAAAAAAGGUAAAAAAAUGAAAACAUUAUUUUAAAGUCUUCUAGCCAAGAAAAAUUAGAAUUUGAUCCAAACUGUAGAAAAUAAUAAAAAUUGAAAAGCAUUAGGCAAGACUAGAAUCUAACAACAGGUGUACUACAGUUUUUGGAACCUAAUUUUUCUCUCUCCCGUUUCCCAUUUUUACUAAAGAGAAACCAUAGUAGGACUAAUUUGCUUUAUUAUAUUUGGCCUAAUUAUUUGUAUACAGUGCAGCAAGAAUAAUUAAUUUGUACAUAACUUUUUUUUCUUUUGAAAUGCAGUCUCACACUGUCACCCAGGCUGGAGUGCAGUGGUGUGAUCUUGGCUCACCACAGCCUCCAUUUCCUGGGUUCAAGUGAUUCUCCUGCCUCAGCUUCCUAAGUAGCUGGGAUUACACCUGGCUAAUUUUUUUUUGUAUUUUUAGUAAAGACAGGGUUUCACCAUGUUGGCCAGGCUGGUGUUAAACUCCUGACCUCAAGUGAUCCACCCACCUCACCCUCCCAAAGUGCUGGGGUUAAGGGCAUGAGCCACCAUGCCUGGCCUACAUAGGCUCUUAAAUUGGUCUUGAUGGAACUUUAUUCCAUAGAAGGAAUAAGCCAAGCCCAGUCAUGUAUUUAUACCAUUAAAUACCUAUGAGUUGGGUGAAUUCCUCUCCUCUUGAGGUUCCAAGAUAAACCUGGGGUCCUGGACUUGUCAGAAAGUACAUUCCUUACUUACCACAGGUCAGGAACCCUGUACAGGAACUGUGUAGACAAAGGUAAGCAGACAGUUUUUCCAAGGAGUUUUAUUGGCUCAAUAAGUUUGAUUCCUAAAUGGAAAACACACCAUUCCAGUAAAAGCCUUGGUAAAAUAACCAGUUCUCCAACUGUGUCCUGUUACAAAUGAAAACAGAUUCUUAUUGCACUUAUGCUACUAAUUGUAUUGUCACAAGAUAAGAAUCCUCACAAAUAGUUUCCAUAUUCUGUAGAAAUAAGGUAGAGAGAAAAAAAUAUGCUCCAAAUUUUGUUCAUAGGAGUAUACUUUAUUCAAUUGUUAAAAUUUGUAAAUAGCUUACAAGUUGUUGACUCUGAAAAGCAAAACAAAGGAUCACCAAUGUUUUAAGCAAAACUUAAAAAGAUUACUUCAGCCUUCUACUAGUUUAGUCCAUGAAGUUAAUUCCUAUUCUGCUUGAUAUUCAUGAACAUUUCAGCUCUCCAUGGGUCCUGAAAGUUUUCCUCUAUUCUGAUGUCACAAUCUUGAAAGUUAUCAGAAACCUGCAUUCAAGAGCACCUGUUAGAGUUUAUAGAGGACUAUAAAACCAUCUUCUAAAGAGGACCAAAACAAGACAGUAAUUGUCCAUGGAUGGCAAAAAGUUUCAGGGCAGCCAUACUCAAAGACACAAUUGACAAGGAAAUUUGUUACCUCUUGUGGCACACAAUAAUUUAACAUAACAAUUAUAAUUAUUACUGAUAACAUACAUUAAGUCACAUCAAAAUUAUAGAAAUUCUCAUAAUUUUAGAAUACAUACGAAUAACAUAGUUAUACAAAUACAGCCCAAAGAAAAUCAAACACCAUUUUAUAUUUGACAAUGCUUCCUGUAUAAUUUUUAUACCAAAUAAGCCAAAUAUGUCAUCAAAUACAACCCAAAGAAAAUCAAACACCAUUUUAUAUUUGACAAUGCUUCCUGUGUAAUUUUUAUACCAAAUAAAUGAAAUAUGUUAUUUUUGGAGUUUAGGGAACUUAUUAAUAACAUCUUAAAGGAUUAAUUAGGUCAGAAAGAUACAAAAUUUAUAAUUUGAUUUUGGAAAGUUUGUCAAUUACCAAAGGUUUAAAACACUCGAUAUUACAAAAUAGGAUUACAGGUCAUUGUAAAAUAAGUCAUUCAUUUAACCAAAGUGAUAACUCAAGGAUUUUUUUAAAAAAAAGGCAAAAACAUUCAUUCUUUGAGAGAGACUAAUUUUCCAAACAAUAAGCCCUAAUAAAACAGCAUGAAGCCAAUUAAAUUUGUUUUCCAAAAUUUUAUAAACAAUCUAUAAAAUUUCAUCUUGAUUUUAAUUUAUAACUUCCAUAAGUCUUUAUAACCUUUGUAACCUUUAUUAAGGAGUCAUCUAAUGUUUUAUGAAAACCUUGUUAAUCUGACAUGGGGGCUCAUAUGCUGGUCUUGCAUCAGUGUGCCUUUGACAUUAAUGAUUAGUUUAUAGAGAAAUAACUUAUUUUAUCUCUCAAAAUUGGCCCUUACAAUCUCACAUGCCCCCCUCUUCCAUGAUUGUCCCUGGGCCUUGAGGAGUUGAAUAACUUUAAUUUCUGACCCUGUGUUUCAGGAACGCAGAUAAUUUUGAGGCUUUAAUGCAGUUAAUUAAAGAUGAGGCUUUAAUGCAGUUAAUUUUGAUUGGCAUCUUCUACCAGGUCUGAGAUGACAGGAAGAUUCAAGAAUCUAAUAACCUUAAUUAAUUUUUUUUAAAUCUCAGUUUUUCCUAAGCAAACCUAACUCAAUAAUCAUAGCAUAGGAAUUAUUUUGGUAAAAUGUAAAAUUCGUUAGGCCAGUUACUAAAAGGAAAAGAAAAGACCUUCUGUACUGCACAGAAUAUUAUGCUAGAAGAAAACAUGUCCUUGAGAUCUUUAAGAAAACGUUAGCAUCAGGCUACAAAAAAACAGAACCCAAAGAAGACUAUUUUGAAGCUAAAAUUUGAUUUUGGGAAGCCUAUUAAAUAUGUUAAAGGUUUAAAACACUUGAUAUUAUUAACUAGAAUUCCAGGUCACCCCAAGUUAUUCAUUUAGCCAAAAUGAUGACUCAAAAUUUUUUAAGAAGUCAAAACCUUUAGUCAUUAAUGGAGGGAAGACUUAGCUUUCCAAACAAUCUGUCUUUGUCUUUCCCUUCUUUUUCUUCUUUUUCUUUUUUUGUUAGUGUAUUUAAAAGGCAAACAACCUGUAAUCCCAGCACUCUGGGAGGCCGAGGCGGGCAGAUCACAAGGUCAGGAGACCGAGACCAUCCUGGCUAACACGGUGAAACCCCUUCUCCAAUAAAAAUACAAAAAAUUAGCUGGGCAUGGUGUCAGGUGCCUGUAGUCCCAGCUACUUGGGAGGCUGAGGCAGGAGAAUGGCGUGAACCUGGGAGGCAGAGCUUGCAGUGAGCCGAGAUCACGCUACUGCACUCCAACCUGGGUGACAGAGCGAGACUCCAUCUCAAAAAAAAAAAAGAAAAGGCAAACAAAUAUUUUUUAUUAUCUUUUAAUAUUACAUGAAAAUCUUGUUCAAGUGAGAAGGCCAAAUUUCACCCUUGCAUUAGUUGCUAUUAAUAUCAGCACCAAUUUUUAAUAAAAGGUCAUAGAUAAAUCUAUCCAAGCUUAAUCAGUUUGACCAUAAGGCAAGAUUUUUAUGAACCUUUUAUAACUCUUUACAAAUUUUUGUUAAACAGCAGAUUAGUGCUUUAAGAAAACCAUGUUUUGCUUUUAUUCAAUGUUCAAUUUAUGGAAAAACCGCAUAGUGCUCCUUUAAAUUUAGUUAAUAUGUUCACACAUAUCAUUUCUUUUACAAGGUUCAUUUUUACAAACCUUCCAAAACUCAUUUAGACCUUUAGCUUUAUCUUAUUUAAUUUAAAAUAGUCCUUUAACUCUCUAGACAAAAUUGUACAUUCCCUGCCUUCUUCUAGUCUCUUACCAAAAACACAUUUCAUUCUCCUCACACACCUUGCAUGUAAACCUAUUUUUUUAGUAGUCUUAAUUACAUGUUAUAAUGGUAAUUCUUAGCAACUUUCACUUUUGGUGCAUAAAUUUUCCUUUACAAAUCCCUUUGCAACUUAAAUAGAACAUCUAUGACAUACUUGGACUUUCUGACUUGUCCUAAACAUCCCUCCUUUUAAACAACCAUCAUUUUACUUUAGGACAUGAAUUUACCAUACAAUAUUAUUUCUUAUAUAAAACAUUUUUCUUUAUAACUGUCUUUGCAUAGCUAGGGGGUAAGGCUAAUAUCACAUAUCCCCAGGCCUUAUUUAGAAUUUAAUGCCUCCAAAAGAAAUUGAGUAAUUUCCAAAAGUCAAAGCAGUUUAUGGCCUUAAAGCAUUAAGCAAACCUAAUAUCUGACCUGCAUGAUUUAGACUAAAUGUAUUUAUUUUAUUAAUAAUCUUUAAAGCUGUGUUUAUUUCCCAAAGAUUACUAAAGUUACAUGAACUAAAAGUCAUUACAGUUUUUUUCUUCCAAAUAUUUUAUAUAAGCACUUUGAUUUAAGCCAGUUAAUUAGAGCUCUUAUAUAUAAACAUUACACACACAACACAUAUAUAACUACACAGACAGAAGAAGAUUACUACAGCAGUUGUAAGACUUUUCAUUUGCCAGUUUUAAAGUUUCUUAAUUGGAUUACUGGCUUUAGGGUGGAGUCCUUGAAAGAACAGGGCCAGGAAAGGGUCUCUGGUGUCUUCUGUUUUUCCCAAGGAGUCCCAGGCUCUUAGAGCUUCAAUAUUCACUUUUAAUUAAGCUGACUUUUAACCAUAGCACUCUUUAACAAAAUCCUUUUAAAAUUUCUUAUUACCUAACUUUAGCCAGGCCAAACAGCUGAUAUUUCUGGCUUUUAAACUUUACCAAAAGUAACCUCACAGGUGCUUUGAGAAAGGAAAAUUCAAGACAACUGGUGGAGGGGAAGAGAAUCAAAAAAUGGCCAAGUUCACCCAAAUAUCAACCAGAAAGGCUCAUCCCCUAAGCUAGGGAUUGAACCCUGAACUCAGGCCACCAUUGUGAAAAGAGAAAGCACGGCCACAUGGUUACAAGUUCAAUCUCCCAAGUACAUAACUGAACAUUUUGCUGGGCCAUCUUGAACAUCAGGCUUAUGGGGUUUUAGGCACGCAUUUUAUCCUAAGGUACCACUCUUUAUUACAGAACAAUAGAGAAAGACACACAAAGCACACCAGAUUCACUACAGCUUAAGACCAGCCUCAGAAUUUUUUCAUAUUAAUCAAAACUUUACAGAGGAGAUAAGCAGUAUCUUUUUACCCCUCAUUUAACCAGUUUGCACAGAGAAAAAGAGGGAGAAAAGCCAGAAAUCUGACUACCUAGGAAUUCUAACACUUUUGCCAGCAUACUAGGCUUCCCUAAGCAGCCCUAGUGACCUAGCUUGCUGCACCAUCAACCUAGGGGCCAAGCCGCAUAAAAAAGGAAAAUUAUCUUUUUUUUGUUCUGCCCAGAGCAAAAUAUGUGUGAUGAAACGUAGACAUUAGCCACUCUGCUUAACUCCCAAUAUCAAACUGUCAAGGCUUAAAUUUGCCCUCAGAUGAGACCCCCAUCAUCUUUAAUCCAACCUCUGACUAGGAAUUUCAACACGUGGUUUCUGGGCAAGAUGGUUGCCCUGUGUAACAGAAAAGAUAGGAAAGGAAAAGUAGAGAGAGAAAAGUAUUGCCUGUGGCAGGGUGGGGAAGGUGAAUAGCUCAAGGAGGCCAGAUAAAGACCUACCCACUGCAGUGACACUGAAAAGUUCAGGCAGCCACUUGUCAGUAGCAAAGGGAUCUUUUCCAGCAGUCCCAUCAGGUCUCAAGUUUCCCCUUUUGGGGAGGAAAAAGCUCCCCAUAUCCCAUGGUCCUGUAAAUGCCUUAUCCUGUCACCCAUAUCUGUCAGAAAAAAGUGUAAGACAGAUUAAUCCAAAGGGAAUAGCGGUUAACAUGCCAUAGUGCCAAACCCAUUCUUAGCCAAAAGGGACUUUACUGAGAGCCCUCAUUUUCAAAUGUACUUCAAUGAAUUGUUGUUCAUUUGGAAUGUUCUACAGUAAGUUACCUUUAGUAAGAUUUUGCCGUUUCUGUAAGACUUCACUGCCUUCUGGGCAUAAUGUAUAAGCUAGAAAGAACUCAGUUUUCCAGAAAUUAAGGAUCCCAUUUUUACCUAAAAUAUUGGCUUUAAUCUCAGGUUCUCUUGAUUGACUUAGCCAAUGAUUUUUCCUAAGCAUGCAAGCAAAAGGAAACAAAGGGGUAGAACACAAAAAUCCCCAUGAAUUUUCAAAAGCCAAAUUUUAUAACCCCUGCAAUAUUACUGCUUAAUACCAGUUCCUUUCUGACCAAGUCAGAUAUAUGGAGCCUCUAACUUAAUCCAAGCCAGUUAAUUCCUGGAUCAAAUCCAUUCCUGGACCCAGCCCAGAUUCUGUUGUGACUUAAACCCAGUUUGGAUCAGAAAGUUGCUUGAAGAAACUCAGAGGGCAAAAAGCACAAAUCCAUGGAGCUCUGAAAUCUGAGAGAGAGGGAGCUUACCCAUCAUCCCCAGCUGCUCUGAGAGAUUAAUGGACAAAAGUGGGUCCUGCAGGUACCUUGUUUGUUCACUCAAUGCUCCUAGGGCUUGCUAGAAGCUCUACUUUGGAUCCCACUUCUGAUACCGUCUGAUAACAGAAAAACUUCAGCCAAAAUAAAUUUAAAGGAGUUUAAUUGAGCAAUGAGAGAUUCAUGGAUCAGGCAGCCCCCAGAAUCACAGCAGAUUUAGAGACUCCAGCACAGCAACAUGGUGGAAGAUUUAUAGACAAAAAUGGGAAAUGACAUACAGAAAUCAGAAGUGAGGUACAGAAUGGCUGGAUUGGUUACAGGUUGGCAUUUGCCUUAUUUGAACACAGUUUGAAUACUCAGCACUGUAUGAAUUGUUGAAGUAUGGCUACUGGGACUGGCUAAGACUCAGCUAUUGUUACAGGCACAUACUCCUAAGUUAGGUUUUCAAUAUUGUCUACCUAUUAAACUAGGUUGCAGUUCGUCCACAUGGCCUCAUAUAUAGAAGUACAGAGUCCCUUCUCAGGCCAUAUUUAGUUCGCUUUAACAGGAGAAACUUAGUUUACAGUUCAGCUUUGAAACAAACACAAUAACAGUUUUUUCCCAAAACAAACCUUACAAUUGUUUGAAAUGCUUGUUCCCCGGUGCUGUAAAGAAAUAGCACUUGAACAUAAAUUUAAUUUACUCAGCAAGGCCAUUUUUAUACUUUCUGUAGAAAGGAUACACUCGCUAGCAGUUUUGCCAAGACAGCACAAGGAACAAAGGAGACAGGGUUAUUUAUAACCUGACGUGUCCACCCUACCACUCUGUCCAGUUUCCACUGGCUAGAACGGGACCUUACAUUCUGUAUUUGUCCUGAUUGGCUAGCAACUUAGAACUUUUUAAAAGAAGUAAAGGUAGAUGAGAACAAAGGAAGGAGGAAGUAACUUGUGGAAUACUGAGAAAGGUAAAAACACCUUCAAAUAAGGAAGAGGAAUAGGCUGUGACCUAAUGCUUGCUUGGACCAGUAUAAGCAUGCUAGGGCAAAUAUUUAGGCUAAAUUGUGGGAGCUAAGAACAUAAAGUGUAUUGAUUUCUUUAUCAUGGCUAGCAGAUAUUUAAGAAUGUUAGCACAGGUCUUUGAAUACAUUUUGCGUCUAACCGAGAAGUUACUAUUUAUUCCUAAUUAAAUGGGGAGGAAAGUCUUUGAAGAGGAACCUCUAUUUACUUUUUACAAUUCCCCCUUUUUAUUUUAUAAUUCCUCUUCAAACUUCUUUAAUAUGUUUUGACUUAAUUGCUUUGUUUGUCCUUCUAAGAGAAGUAAUUUUUCCAAAUAGGGUGGAGGAGAGUUAGGAGUUAACUCUGUAAGAGUGGUAGAGACAAGUUUUUGUAUAAAACUUUGAAGGCAGUGAAUAAUAUAACAGCCUACAAGAAUAAGUACACCAAUAACAAGAACAAACAAGGUGAGAAUUGAUGUUAAAAUUUUAUUUUAUCCACUGAACCAAUGUUUCAUCAUUUUAGAAAAAGGGUUAUUUAUUUUAGACUUUUUGGCAAGUUUAUCAGAUAGGGCUGUUAAUCCUUGUAGCGCUUUUGUCAUAGUUCCGUCGGGGCAGUAUUAUUAGGAACAAAGGUACAACAUUGAGUUUUAAUUAUGACACAAACAACUUUUUUUGCUAAUGUUAUAUUUAAAGCUAUUCUAUUUUUCUAGGCCAUCUGAUUUCUAGGUCCUAAUUGCUUAGCUAUCUCUUUGAUGGCAUCCCCAGUGUAAUUUAUGAAUCAUUGCUGAUUGUAAUAGAUAUAGUUUAUGUAGUCUAAUUUUUUUUUAUUUACCUACCGGAACAACGUGGAUUUAAAUUCUGCAGCUAUUUGAUUUUGUGCUUUAAACUUAUUUGGCAUUCUCACAGGACCUUAAUAGCAUUCAUGUAAACCUGAGGAUUAAAGGAUUCAUAAGGAGUUUCCUUUGGCCUGCAGUGUUUUGUUUUUACCUUUUCAGAUUGAUGAAAUGCCAGGGUGAAGGGGAUAGCCAAUUGGAUUAGAGCCCAAGUACUCCUCCAAUUAUUUGGCAAGGUGUCCAGUAAAGGUCCUCCACAGUACCACCAUACAUUUGCUUGGGGAUGGCUAAGCAUGGAUGGAUGGGCAAGCUCUUGGAAAGGCUUGAGCUCCUUGCAUCCUUUUAUGCUUCCAAGGAACACCAAAUUUUCCCCCUCCCAUGAGAUGCAUGAAGUAAACUUGGCAUUUAGAGGUGGAAGCUGGAUUGCCCUCAGGGGCUGACCUGCAGGGUGUUGAAUUUCAGGAAAUUGCAGAGAGAGCUCAGCAUGAUGGAUUAUCCCAAGCAGUGGGAUUCUGAAAAAGACCCACCAUACAGUCCAUAUCUGGUUGACGAGGAGACCAUCUGAGUGGAAAGGGGAUAAUCUGGGCCUCUGGCCUACCAUGCGUACAAGCGUAAUAAUCGCUUUUAUUUAAAGUGUGAACAGAGUAUUUAAUCCAUUCCAACCAGGCAUUUGCAUCUUGAUAUUUUGUCUUGAUGGCUAAGGUCUCUCUUAGCUCUAUUAUUUUUACAAUAGGCACCCUAGUUUUAUUAGAUGUAGGAGCACCCGGUGUGGGAUCUAGAACUGAGGCUACUGAAGAAGGGAAGAUGGGGGAAUAAUGCAUAUUUUAAAAAUACCUAGGGGGUCUUUUCCAUUUAUGUCAAUCCCCAUACCAUAGAAGUGACUAAGGGCAGGUCUAGAGUUAGUUAAGGUAGAGGUGGUGAUACAGAGAAGGACAGGGUUACACUGAUACGGCUGACAGUCACAAGGGGUAGCCGUUUUAGUGAAAUAGAUGAGGGGUUUUAGAUCUGCACAAAUCUUUUUCGUGGAAGUCCAACUUUGCUCCUGAGUAGUUUAAAGGAUGGAGUCCCAUUUACUACAAGGUUGCCAGGCCGUAGGAGCAGAAAAUCAGCAUCUUGGCUUUAGGUCAUUACAACAAUGAGUGCUAGGGGAAACUGUGUCAAUUAGAGGGCUGGGACAUAAAUAUUUGUGUAAAAAGGCUAGCUGUUAUUGAUCUUUUACAUUUCCACAAGGUAUGACAGAGCAAGCAUUAAAGGCAAUGGUCUAAGGUGUGUCAGACUUAGUUAUAUUAAUAACAAAGGAACUAGUGACAGAAUAAGGAAAGGAAAGGAAGCAAUAUAGAAGGUAUAUGAAAGUUAAGCUUUCUUUAACUUAGGGCCUGAUCCUAGUACAGUAAUGCAUGAUUCUGAGAGGAGGAUGUUUUCUUGACUUGAGUAUGUUGGGUCCAUUUUUCUCUUGGCUGUGUGGACGGCAGUCUCAGUGGUUAACAGCAUAAAAUAGGGUUCUUCCCAGGGUGGCUUGAGGUUUUUCUAUGUUUUGAUAAGGACUUGGUUUUCAGGCUGGUGCUUGUGUGCUGGAUUUCUAGGGGUGGUACCUGUACUAAAAGACUUUUAGUUCCAAGGGAAGGGAAAGUGGAAGAUAAAUUAAGUAUAUAAUUUCUGCUGCAUAUCCUGGGGCUUGAGGCCCCAUGGUGAUGCCUCCCACUCCAUUCCUGCUCAGCACCACCCAGGGCAUGCUGCAGCCCUGCUCCCUUUUAAUGUCUUGGCCUUCUUGUGGCCUUCACCGCCCCUGCACACUGUGGCCUUGGGGUUGAGGGGCCUUGUGACUUACCUGGCUGCCUUUUGGGACUUAAGAAAGCUAAACACCAGGCUGGGUGCGGUGGCCCACACCUGUAAUCCCAGCACUUUGGGAGGCUGAGGCGGGCGGAUCACGAGGUCAGGAUAUCAAGACCAUACUGGCUAACACAGUGAAACCCCAUCUCUAAUAAAAAAAAAAAAAAAAAAAAAAAAGCCAGGCAUGGUGGCAGGCACCUGUAGUUCCAGCUACUCAGGAGGCUAAGGCAGGAGAAUGGUGGGAACCCAGGAGGUGGAGCUUGCAGUGAGCCGAGAUCACACCACUGCACUCCAGUCUGGACGACAGAGUAAGAUUCUGUCUCAAAAAAAAAAAAAAAGAAAGAAGGAAAGCUAAACACCACUUUAUAUUUGACAAUGUUUUUUGUAUGAUUUUAUACCAGAUAAGUUAAAUUUUACCUUUAUAUUAAUGUGCUAUUAAUGUGAAACUUAAUUUUUAUAAAAUCUUAUUGUCAUUAUUUCCACUUUUAAUGUCUGACUAUAAGGUAAGACUUUUAUAGACUCUUUUUAACUUUUUAUAAUUUUUGUUAAAGAGCAGGUUAGUGCUUUAAGAAAAAUUUACUGUGCUUUUAUGUUAAUGUCCAGUUCACAGAAAAACUGGAUGAUACCCCUUUAGCUUUAGCCAAUAUGUUUACACAAAGAAUUUCCUUUACAAUUAACAUUUUAAAACUUGUUUAAACCUUUAAAACAAAAUUUUUUAAACCUUUUAAUGUAGGUAAAAAUCCAUAUUCUUAUGCCUCCUUAUAAUCCUGUUAUUAAAAGUAUAUUUUAUCUUUCUUACAUACCUUGUACAUAAUCUGGGUUUUUAAAAAUAAUUUUACAUCCAAGAGGCCUAAUUAUUUAAAUUAUACAAUAUUUCUUGCAUAAAUUCCCUUUUAUAGCAUUUCUUAUGACUUUCACAGACAAUCUUCAACAUGUCUUAACUUUCUGCCUUCCUUUUACAUUAUUUCUUUUCCUAGUUUCACCCUCUGUGUCUUCCUUUGAUUUCUGUCUCCUCCAGUUUCUCUCUUUCUUACUCUUUCCCUUGAUUUCUCUAUCAUUUGCACUCUAUUUUCCUCUCUCUCUGUGUCAUCCCGUUUCCCUUUCCCCUCCCGAGUUCUCCCACUCCUGCCACCAGCGGGGCCAGGCCACAGCAUGGGCCCCACCCCUGUGCACAUGCUGCCAUCUAUUUCUCCUAUUUUUUUUUCUCCCAAUUCCCCUUUUUGCUUUUUUCCUUUCUUCUUACUUAGUUUCUCGGGGUGGGUGGGAUUUGCGCAGCUGCAGUCCGGGCCCCGGGCAGUCACCAGCCCAGAGGCUUGGCAGAUGCCUGCCACAAAUUGCAAGAAUUAUGCCCCUUUCACCUCCUCUGCUCUCCCCCUGGCACUGGUCCCUGCCCUCUUUUUCACAUAGAGCCAGGCUGGGGAGUGGGACCUAACUCUUGGCAUGCCUGCCUUGCUGUUUGGUGCUGUGCUUGCUGUUUUUGCUUUCUUUCUCUCUGAAUUCCUCUCCUAGUUUCUUUUUCCUCUCUGCUGGUCUUUCCUUUGUCUUUGCCAGUGACCUGUGCUGCUGUUUUCCCCUCUCUUUCCCCUUCCCCUAGGGGAGGGACCAGCGGGAGUGGAGCUACUGUUUCUUCCCCUAAAGGGAAAGAAAAGGGGGUUCUGAAUAUUUUUCUUACUACGGGAGGUUUGUGUGAGGUUCAACCCCACUCAUGGGGAUUUCUCACCUCUUUCUUAUGUUCAACCCCCCCCAUGGGGAUUUCUCACCUCUUUCUAAGGUUCAAACCCUCUCGUGGGGAUUUCUCACCUCUUUCUGAGGUUCAAAGCCCCUCAUGGGGAUUUCUCACCUCUUUCUGAGCUUCAACCCCCCCUUCCCAUGGGGAUUUCUCACCUCUUUCUGAGGUUCAAAGCCCCUCAUGGGGAUUUCUCACCUCUUUCUGAGGCUCAACCCCCACCCCCCAUGGGGAUUUCUCACCUCUUUCUGAGGCUCAACACCCCCCCAUGGGGAUUUCUCACCUCUUUCUGAGGCUCAACCCCCCCCCCCCCCCCGUGGGGAUUUCUCACCUCUUUCUGAGGCUCAAACCCCCUCGUGGGGAUUUCUCACGUCUUUCUGAGUUUCAAAUGCCCGUCAUGGGGAUUUCUCACCUCUUUCUGAGGUUCAACCCCCCCCAUGGGGAUUUCUCACCUCUUUCUGAGGUUCAACCCCCACCAUGGCGAUUUCUCACCUCUUUCUGAGGCUCAACUCCCCCUCAUGGGGACUUCUGACCUCUUUCUGAGGCUCAACUCCCUGCCAUGGGGAUGUCUCACCUCCUUCUGAGGUUCAACCCCCCCUCAUGGGGACUUCUCACCUCUUUCUGAGGUUCCAUCCCCCCUCAUGGGGAUUUCUCACCUCUUUCUGAGGUUCAACCCCCCCUCAUGGGGAUUUCUCACCUCUUUCUGAGGUUCAACCCCUCCACGUGGCUUUCUCACCUCUUUCUGAGGUUCAACCCCCCACAUUGGGAUUCCUCACCUGUUUCUGAGGUUCAGCGCCCCCCACCAUGGGGAUUUCUCACUUUUUUCUGAGGUUUAACUCCCCCAUCCUGCCCACCUCAUGGGGAUUUCUCACCUGUUUCUGAAGUUCAGCCCCCCCAUGGGGAUUUCUCACCUCUUUCUGAGGUUCAAGCCCCGCCCCCAUGGGUAUUUCUCACCUCUUUUUAACCUGCAAGACAUCCCGACUAAGGAAUACUUCACGGCCCUGCUGCGGCUUUCUUUCCCUAGUCCCAACUAAGGAAUGCUUACCGCCCCUGUGGUUUCUCUCUCCUUGGUAUGUCCUAACCAAGGAAUGCUUUACAGUCCUGUGGCUUUUUCCUUAGUCCCGACCACCAAGGAAAUACUUUACUGGCCCCUGCGGCUUCUCCUUCCUUGGUCUGUGCAUGGAGUUGUCACCACGGUAUGUGGCUACCUUGCUGGCCAGUUUCUUUCUUUUCUUUUCUCUGCGUUGCUGAGAGUCCGAGUUUAUUCGUCACACUGGGUGGGUCUCAAUUUCUCAUCCCUGAGGCCACCGCAGUGAGGCAGAAGAGCACACUCCCUCAGGAGAGAGGACUGGAGACCGCCCCUGGAGAAGAAUACAUCCCCAUAUGGAUUGCCACCGAAUUGUUUGAAAUGCUUGUUCCCCAGUGCCAUAAAGAAAUAGCACUUGAACAUAAAUUUAAUUUACUCAGCAAGGCCAUUUUUAUACUUUCUGUAGAAAUGAUACACUCACCAGCAGUUUUGCCAUGAGAGCACACCGAACAAAGGAGACAGGGUUAUUUAUAACCUGACAUGUCCAUCCUACUGCUGUGUCCAGUUUCCACUGGCUGGAAUGGGACCUUACAUUCUGUAUUUGUCCCGACUGGUUAGCAACUUAGAACUUUUUAAAAGAGGCAAAGGUAGAGGGGAACAAAGGAAGGAAGAAGUAACUUGUGGAAUGCUGAGAAAGGUAAAAACAGCUUCAAAUAAGGAAGAGGAAUAUGCUAUGACCUAAUGCUUGCUUGGACCAGUAUAAGUAUGUCAGGGCAAAUAUUUAGGCUAAAUUGUGGGAGCUAAGAGCAUAAAGUGCAUUGAUUUCUUUAUCACAGCUAGCAGAUAUUUAAGAAUGUUAGCACAGGUCUUUGAAUAAAUUUUGCUUCUAAGAGAAGUUACUAUUUAUUCCUAAUUAAAUGGGGAGGAAAGUCUUUGAAGAGGAACCUCUGCUUUACUUUUUACAUCUGUGGACUAGACCAGCUAAAGCUGCAAGAUUAGAAGUUAUGGUAAUCUUACUAAAUUCAAGAUGUAGCUAUCUUUAUUAAACCAAUAUCAAUGUCUUAUUUAUUAAAAAUUACACAAGCAAAGAUCAUUCUGUCUUGGGCCGGGUUUAUAGUUUCGUAACCUCUAUGCCCAAUUUUGACACCUUGUAGUAUUUGGCAGGGAUAAGUAUGAAAUUGCUUGAUUAAUAAAUGCAACAAAUAUGUAUGCUGGCAAUUCUUCAGACAUUUCUAAUAUUACUUUACCAAUAAUUUUAAAGCUAGCUUAUUUACUAAAGAUUUUGCUUAUGUAAAUAAGAAAGCAUUUGACUAGUCUUUUCUUUUUUCCUGAUAAAGGAUCUGAUUCAAGUGUUUUUAUUUUCUUAAGCCAAUUAAUUAGACCUCUUUUAUAUCAGUAGUGAAAUAUUGUGUUGGCAAUGCAUAAAUACCUAAAUGUAUUAGGCAUGCCGAUAGAAGUACAUUUUAUAGAUUUAUAAAAACCUUUUAUUUUUCCCUAUCUGAGACUUUUGUAUUCUUGAUAACCUGUUUCACAACCCUAGGCAGUAGUCAGUUAAAUAGCCUUAAAUUUGCAUGUUAAAGUAAAAAACUCAAGUGAAAUUCAAAUAGCAAAAUUUACAUCAUAAGGUACAGAAAGAGUAAGUUUGGUGGUGCUGUAGGAAGAUUAAAGGUGGAUGCAAAAUCAAACAUAAAAUUAUAGAAAUCUAUCAUAGGAUUGUAUAAGGAGACCAAUCUUAUUUAAAUAGGGACUAUCUAUGGAUCUCCAAGCUCUGGGCAGAGCCCAUACUGAAUUGUAAAUCUUCAAAAAGGGAAAAUUAUUGUGAGGUUAGACCAUGUGAUGCUUUUACACUUGAAAAAAAAUUUUUAAAGACACUUUUAAGUGUCUAAACCACACUCUUCCUUUAAAACCCAAGAGUAACUUCUCUUGUGGUAAUGAUUUUAGUCAAAAAUAAAAAAGCAGUUAACACAAUAUAAAAUUAAGCAGUUUAAGAACUGAGACAUAUGUGGCUAGGUUGCUGGCCAGUUUCUUUUUUUUUCUCUGCGUUGCUGAGAGUCCAGGUUUAUUUGUCACACUGGGUGGGUCUCAAUUUCUCAUCCCUGAAGCCACUGCAAUGAGGCAGAAGAGCGCGAUCCCUCCUGAGAGAGGACUGGAGACCGCCCCUGGAGGAGAAUAUAUCCCUGUAAUUAAAUAGAUUCCCCAUAAGGAAAAACAGGUUUCUCCCCAAAAGGGAGUCUGGUGCCUUCAUUUUCUUUAAGGAGCCCCAGGCUAUUAUAAACUAUUUUAAGUCCCUUAUGCAGCAGAGGGUGCAAGAGAAAGGAGAGACAGCAGAAGUAAAUGAAGAAAACAGAAUUCAGUCAACUGAGGAAGAAAAAAACAACUUUUGCUCAAAAAGAGACAUGGUUUUAGGAGAAAAACAAAAACAAAAACAUGAAGGCCUUUUAAAUACGGGCACACACAUAUGCACACACACACACACACACACAUCUUGGAUGUUAGCUUUUAAUUAAGCUGACUUUUAACCACUGAGUUGCUUUAAAAAAAUCUUUUAAAAUGUCAUUACCGUAUUUCAACUAGGAAAAAUUGCUGCAAUUUCAGAAGUAUAGCCAUUGCUCUUUCAGCUUGAUCUGGCUAGUAAAAGGUGGCCUUGUUAUGUAAAUAAAGCCCCUUCGUAGUCAAAAUGAAAAAUCUUUCCUCUUUUUUUUCCCCUUUUGCUGGCCAUUUUUCCCCCCCGACCACACCACCAUUUUUUUUUUUUUUUUUUGGUAGGAAUUUAGCCACUUCAGAGGCCUCGUUCCCUGUAAUUUGGAACUUCCUUCAGAUUUAAUCAGGUCAGAUAGAGCUGAUCAAACCCAGUGGUAAAAAGACCAAAACAACAACAAAAAUAGAAACAAACAGCAGCAAAUAAAAAAGUUAAGCAAAACAAAUGAUCACACAACUUAUAUAGUUACUGAGCGCUCUAAUGGUAAGGAGAAAUUAAGACCAGCUGGUUGUUAAUCUUAACUUUAGCCAAGACAAACCACAAUUCACUUACUUAUCUAGGAUUGGGUCUCAAGCUGAAGACUGCUCUCUACCUUCCUAGAAGCAGGGAAAGAAAACUUCUUCUUCCCGUUGGAAGCAAGCUCAAACUCCCCAAAGGAGUUACCUGCUGUUAGAUAUGAGUUCUAAAUUUCUUUUCAAAUAAUUAAUAUGUCAGUAUGUUCAAUUCUUUGCCUUCUACUUUUAAAUUUAACUUCCUUGUAAAGCAACAUUUUUCGAUUACCUACUCCACCCUGACUCAUUUUGAUCACCUGCUCCACCCUAACUCAUUCCAAUCACCUGCUCCACCCUAACUCAUUCCAAUUACCUGCUACCAGCUCUGCCCUGACUCCCACCAAAGCACUCACUCCCUCAUUCUCUUUAAAUUAGCCAGCCAAUCAGAAUUAGCUUAGCCAGUGCUGUCUAACCCUAGCCAAUAGGGGAACGACACAACAGCAGGGGCCACGUGCAUCAGGGAUAAGAACCCCUUCCCCUCCCUUGUCCAGGUGUGCGCUCACCAUUGCUCCAACUGUAAGGGUGCACCCUUCUAUAGAAGUACCUUGCCUUGCUGAGAAUUAAACGAAAAUUUUACAUUCGAGUGCUAUUUCUUUUGCGGCACCAAAACUUUAUAUAUAACACUGCCUACCAUCGUAGUGGAAGCAGAAAAACUUGCCUUCCUUGUGUUGGAAACAAGUAAAACUCCAAAAAAAAAAAAAAGUUGUACAGCAAAAUAAACUAGUUCUCAACCAAAUUUUGGGAGAUCAGGGAUUCUCUGGAGGGGAUGCUUCCAGGCCUCAGCAAAUUGUUCUAUUGGUUUGAGUCAUAAAGAUUGCUGAAGCUGGUACCAAGCACCCAUAGGAGAUUUGUCAAAGGUGAGGGACACCUACACUCAGAAUCCCUCCUUGGUUACCAAAAUGUGAACCCCCAAAUUCUGAGACAGGUCUCAGUUAAUUUAGAAAGUUUAUUUUGCCAAGGUUGAGGACACACGCCCAUGACGCAGCCUCAGGAGGUCCUGAUGACAUGUGCCUAAGGUGGUUAGAGCACAGUUUGGUUUUAUACAUUUUAGGAAGAUAUGAGCCAUCAAUCGACAUAUGUAAGAUGAACAUUGGUUUGGUCUGGAAAGGUGGGACAACUUGAAGCAGGGAGGGGGCUUCCAGGUCAUAGGUAGAUAAGAGACAAAUGGUUGCAUUCUUUUGAGUUUCUGAUUAUCCUCUCCGAAGGAGGCAAUCAGAUAGGCAUUUAUCUUAGUGAGCAGAGGGGUGACUUUGAAUAGAAUGGGAGGCAGGUUUGCCCUAAGUAGUUCUCAGCUUGGCUUUUACCUUUAGUUUAGUGAUUUUGGGGGCCCAGGAUAUUUUCCUUUCACGGAAGCUAAAAGUUUCUUUGAUCAAAUAAUCAAUUUAUUUUAUUUCCAGAGUAAGGAUUUCUGUGUGCUUUUCUCCAAAGACUUGUAUUCUUUUUAAUAAUUGUUUUUCCUCUGUUUUCUUUAACUAUCACAGAUAAGGAAUGGUAAAGAGAUUUUGGUAACUAUUCUGACUUUCAGAACACUUUGUUGUUUCUUUUGUUGAGUAAUAGAAUUUCUUUUUGAUUUUUAGAAUUUCUAGCAAUCAAAGUAAUGCUCAAUGAAAGAAAAUUUGGAAAAAAAAAAAAAAAAAAAAAAAAAAAAACAGCAAGGAGGGAAGAAUUGUCACCUUGAGUCACAUCCCAAAGUCAAACAUCACAUUUCCAGUUUCUUCUUUUCUAUGCUUAGGCUUUGAAAAGACAAAGAGUAAUACUUAUUGCACAUGUUUCUGCAUUACUAUAAAGGUAAAUACAUAUCCAGUUACUUGAAAUAAAAUGCCUGCAAAAUCCUGUCCUCUCAUCUGCCAUUGAUAACAGCAAAUUUUUCUGUUAUGCAGCACAGUGAUGAGUUCCAUUCUUCAUCCUUUGUUGGUGACCAUAGGAUUCCUUUUUCUUUGAGCCUUGAAAUUACACUAUAUAAUUUUUUUCUUCUUUUUCAUGGCAUUUCUAUACCUUUACUGCAAUUCUAGCAUUAUUUAUAAUAUUUUACACUGUGAAGUUUUAUUUUCUCAUGUUUGUAAACAUACUCAUAACUUUACAUUUUAUUCUUUUCACUAUUAUAUUUUUGCAUAUUAUUUCAGUUUCUAUAAAUAAAAACUUAAAUGUCUAAAUAAUAGUCCAUCAAAAGUACUGUCUAUAAUUUAACUACUUUCUAACUAGUGGAGUUUUAAGUUGUUUUUUGAUUUUAGCAUUAUAAAUGUAAAUAACUUUGAUCAUAAAAAGCUUCAGAAUGUUUUGAAGAAUAAAAGAUCUGUCUUUUCCCAGAACAUACCUAUUUAUUUAGGUUAAGCUGAAAAGUCAAUUUUUUUUUUUUUGAUAGCAGGCAAAGUCUUGUUGAUACUUACAGACUGCAGAGAAAAUAUAAAACAAAGGUACAGCCUUUAUGCUUGAAGGACAUACAUGUUUUGUUGUUCCUCUUCUAGAGAUGGCAAGCCUGUCUCAUCUUUAUUAUGCUAGGAGGAAUACAGGAGCUGCCACCAUUGCUCAGCUUCUAGUUCACUUUCUGCCGACUUUUGGAGUUUUCACACAUUGACUAAGGACCACAAGUAUAAAGCUCUCGUGUUUUUAUCUCUGGAGCUUAAGGCUAAGUGUGAAGCAUGCAGUACUUUUUUCCAAAGAUUUUAACAACACCUUACAUGAUUGUUAUUACUUGACUCCUUUGGGUAAGAGGGAACCAAGUGAAGGAACAAGGGUGCCUCUCAAGUAUGGCAACUCAACGACACACCCAGCAACUGUGUUCAAAAUAGAGCUCAGAAUCUAGCUUUAGUCUUUCAACACAAGAAAGAUAGCAAUCUCAAGAAAUAUGCUUUGUAUUUGAAUUUGGAUUGGAGUAGAUUGUUUGUUCAGAUUCUCUAGGCUGGAUACUCCCUCUCAUUUUAUUUUUUUUAGUUUUCUUUUUUUGAGAUGGAGUCUCACUCUAUUUGCCCAGACUGGAGUGCAGUGACACAAUCUUGGCUCACUGCAACCUCUGCCUCCCUGGUUCAAGCCAUUCUCAUGCUUCAGCCUCCCAAGUAGCUGGGAUAUCCCUCUCUUGCUUUCUUUAUCCUUAUUUUCCCUCUCUCUCUGGAAACUUUUCUAUUUUGUUUUAUUUGAGAUAGACUCUGUGUUACCCAGGCUGCAAUGCAGUGAUGUAAUCUUGUCUCACUGCAACCUCCACCUCCCCAACUUCACUCCUUCAGAGCAACUGAGACUACAGGGGUGCCACCAUGUUCUCCACUGGAAACAUUAUUUUUGAUUAUCAUCAAAAUACGGGGGAGAGGGGCAGUGUUAUCGGCCUCUAGUGGGUAAUGGCCAGGGAUGCUGCUUCACUGUGGGGGCUACAAUGCACAGGAUAGCCCCCACAAUGAAGAAUUAUGGAGUCCAAACUGUCCAUAGUGCCGUCAUUAAAAAUGCUGCUGUACAUAACAAAUGUGUACCUCUAUGAGAUGGAUACUGGCCUUCCCUGAUUUAUUAAAAGCAAAGGGCAAGAAAUAAUUGGCCUAAACUCUGAAGUUACCUAAUAUCUUGCAUGUAGUAUUUUGAGAGUAAUGACCAUAGAAGGCAUAUCAUACCAGGAUAAAUAAAUAUGCGGAAACUUCUGUUGUAGUUAGGAGGAGAAUUUGGCAGCGCCAGGUACUCACGCCUGUAAUCCCAGCACUUGGGGAGGCCGAGGCAGGCAGAUUACCUGCCAUCAGGAUUUUGAGACCAGUCUGGCCAACAUGGCGAAGCCCUGUCUCUGCUAAAAAUACAAUUAGCCGAGCCUGGUGGCGCACACCUGUAAUCCCAGCUACUCAGGAGGCUGAGGCAAGGAGAAUCGCUUGAACCCGGGAGGCAGAAGUUGCAGUGAGUCGAGAUUGUGCCACUACACUCCAGCCUGGGUGACACAGUGAGACUCAGUCUCAAAAAAAAAAAAAAAAAAAAAGGAGUAUUUAACUUUGUUUUUGAUGUGUGGAUCAUUUUUAUUACUUUCAUAGGAUGUCAGCACUGGAAGGAACUUUAGAGAUAAUCUAAUCAACACCACAUUUUUCCAUUGUACACAGGAAACUGAAUUCCAAAAAGGAAACGAACUAACUCAAAUUUUCCCUGAUCUGGAAUUACAAGCAUCAGCUCAUUAUUCCUGCAAUAAAACCGAUUGGCCAGGAGCUAAACAGAAGACUUCUAAAAAAUGAAAACCCCUGGCCGGGCGCGGUGGCUCACGCCUGUAAUCCCAGCACUUUGGGACGCCGAGGCAGGCGGAUCACGAGGUCAGGAGAUCGAGACCAUCCCGGCUAACACUGUGAAACCCCGUCUCUACUAAAAAUGCGAAAAAUUAGCCGGGCGUGUUGGCGGGCGCCUGUAGUCCCAGCUACUCGGGAGGCUGAGGCAGGAGAAUGGCGUGAACCCGGGAGGCGGAGCUUGCAGUGAGCCGAGAUGGCGCCACUGCACUCCAGCCUGGAGGACAGUGAGACUCCGUCUCAAAAAAAAAAAAAAAAAAAAAAAAAAAAAAAUUGAAAACCCCUGUCUCUGAUAAAAGACAUUUUAAAGAUUAAACAAAUUAUGUAUAUGAUUCUUUUUAAAUAUAUUUUCUCCUUCUGAAGCACGUUGCAUAAAGAGCAUACGUUGAAAGUAACACAGAAAAUUAAAUUCUUCUACUACUUAACUUCUCUAAGCCUCAUGUUUGUUCUUCUACAAGAUAAAAUGGGGGAAAUAAUUUCCACUUUAGAGAAAGGAAUAGAUGAAGCAAACUAAAGUUUAUCAAGUUGAUGGGCAAAAAGUAGGAUCUCAACAAAUGAUAGUUGGCGUAUCAGUUUAAGUUAUGGAUUGCAAGCAACAGAAACAAAUUCUGGCCAAUUAAAGCAGAAAAAGAAUUACUGAAAGAAAAUUGGGUAGCACAAUGAAGUAUAAGAAUGCCUGGAGAAUGUGAAUUGGAAAUGGCCAAGAAUAAAGGAAGGCUGCAUAGUCAGAAUCACAAGCAAAAUUGCAAAAUUGCACCUCAGUUGAGUGAGGACACCAUUCCUGCUGCCACUACAGAACACGAGUGCACCAGCCUCUACCACAAACCUGAAUCUAGCACAACACCAACACUAGCAUGGCUGCUGCUGAAACUGCUAUCUUCACUCCCUCUCCAAUCCCUACCAAAAGGAAUGCUCCCAAUCCUGCCUCACUAUCUCCAUGUUAAAAAUUUCAGGUGGAUAAUUCUAGUUAGCUGAGUCUAGGUCACAGCCCUGUGCUCUACCUGUCACAGAGUCAGGAAAGUGAUCAUCUGACAUUUUCAGCUUAUUAUGGAAGAAGAAUUCUCUCUCUCACCAAGUAACAUAAAAUGGGAAAUUCCCUAGAGGAAGGGAGCUCAAAUAUGGAGAGUAUCCCACAUGUAGUGACAAAUUUUCACUAUAGAAGUCUUUUCAUCCUAACUCCCUCUGCUCACCAUGGCCACAAAAGCCAAACAAAUUCUGAGUGAGUUACAAUCAUCUGGGGACAAAACAAAUACUAUCUCCAGCAAUUGUUGUGAUAGAGCUUUUUGUGUAAUAGUUUCACUACACUUUUCUGACUUUUAGUUUCUUUUUCUUUUUCCUUUUUUUUUUCUUUUUUUUGAGACGGAGUUUCGCUCUCAUUGCCCAGGCUGGAGUGCAAUGGUGCAAUCUCGGCUCCCUGCAACCUCUGCCUCCCAGGUUCAAGUGAUUCUCAUGCCUCAGCCUCCUGAGUAGCUGGGAUUACAGGUGAGUGCCACCACGCCUGGCUCACUUUUGUAUUUUUAGUAGAGACGGGGUUUCACCACGUUGCCUAGGGUGGUCUCGAACUCCUGACCUCAGGUGAUCUGCCUGCCUCGACCUCCCAAAGUGCUGGGAUUACAGGCAUGAGCCAUGGCACCCAGCUGAAAUUUCUAAUUAGAUAACUUAUACUUUUCAGUCAAAACUCGAAAAAAUAAUUAUUGUUGAAGGGUAUUUGGAAUACAACUGUUUCGGAGGCCCUUAGUAGACUAAUUUAUAAAAAAAAAAACAGAAGGUGAUGAAGGAAAGUCUAUGUUUGAUCCAUACAGUCUGACACUUGAGAAAUAAACAGUGACUUCACAGUGGACAAAAGAAGAAGAAAACAUGAGUAGGAAACUCUGAUACUACUGUUGAUAAAUGGUGGUUUCAGACAAGGCUGAAGCAAACCUGGAGCUGUGGGAAGUGGUAGAUGAAGAAUGUACAUCGGGGAAAAGGGGAAAAGCAGUUAUAGUCUGUCUUUGAUAGUGUAAAAUUUAUUAUGUUUUGGUUUUAGGUUGAAUAUACUAUACAAAACAUAGUAUCUAGUAAAUUUUAACAAUGGAAUAAGCAAAAGAAUCCUUGAAGCCUAAAUUAUAAUGGAUUUAUUAGUCAAAUAAGCCAGAUCAUUGUAAAAUAAAACUUUAGGUUUGGAAAAGAAAGACUAAUAUGUAAUUUAUAGAUAUCCUAAUCUCUGAGGCAAUAUAAAAAUAUAUUAAUAUUUAGCUAUGCUCUCUAGCAUGUAUCACAAGUAUGUCUUGAAAAGUGAAGUGACUGUUAGUUUCCUAGGUAGAAUGAUCGAAUACCUUAAUUAUUGAAGUUAUCACACAAAUAGUUAUAGCAUUCCUACCACAUUCUAGGUCCUGUGUUAGGACCUGGGAUACAAAGAUAAGUAAGAUACAGUUAUUGUUGCCAAGGAACUCACAGUCUAACAAGCUCCAAAAUAAUAUGAUAAAUGCGGUAAAAGAUAUUUACAGGAAACUAAUUGGGGAUGGAGCCCAUAGCAUCAUAUGAGGAGAAAGAAGGAAGGCUUCCUGGAAGAGGAGGUGUCUGAGCUAAUUCUAAAUCACUGUACCAAAAUUCUCAAGUUUUAAAAACAAGAGAGCAAACAGUUGUCCUGUUUUUUGUUUGUUUUUGAGACAUGAUCUCAUUAUGUUGCCCAGGAGGGUCUCAAACUCCUAGAUUCAAGAAAUCCUCCCACCUCAGCCUCUCAAGUAGUUGUGACUACAGGUGCACACCGCCACACCCAGAUCCCUUUGUUUAUAUAAGGGAAAUAAUCAGGAGAAUAAGGCUAAUAAAUCCCUUUGGAUUCCUAAACUUACUUCUUUAGCAUAUGUAUCUGAAAUUUUCAAAACUGUUGGUAAUAUGAAUAAUAAAUUCAAUAAAUAUAAAUAAUAUGUAUGAAUACAACACUCCAAACCUUUCCUACAUUGAUUAAAUAAAAUGCUAGUGGAUUUUUACUUUCUUCAUUCACCAUACAUACAACUUGUUAUAGCCACUAACAGCAUAUACUUAACCCCUUCUCUUGGUAGGGUUACUGGAAACUAAAUGAAACACGUGAAGUUAGGUACAGGGCCUGGAACACAGUAGAGUUCAAUAAGUGAUAAUCUCCCUCUCCAGUCCAAGGUGGGUCUUAUACACCCUUUUAUUACAGUGCCCUUGCAAUCAAUGAUGCUCCAUAAAUAUUUAAACUAUACACUGACCCCGCAGUUAAUUACCAGUACCUAUCAAAGAAACCCUUAGCAUCAUCUCUCUUUCCCCAAUUUCCUCAGUCUCCAACCAAUUUAUUUUUAGUAAUGCCUUGUGACAAAACUCUGUAGGGAUAAGUUCCUAAAACAAGAGUGUCACAUUUAAGUUAUAUUUUUUAAAAAUCACAUAAGCAUGAUUCAUAAAACAGUUAUUGGAAGCUUCUGCCAAUCCAACUGCAAAUAGAAGUAUCAAGACUUUAAUAUCUGUGGAAAAACAAAUCGCUCAAGUAUUGACAUUACAUGCAAUCUCCAAUUCCAGAGUAGGUAAGGAUAAGGCAGUAAGUGUAGAUAGAGUACACCGACAACAGAUGGCAGCACUUGAACAUCAAGCCCCGAUGAUAAGCCCUCCUUUUCACAUCCAUGUUCUGCUGUGACUUGCAGAUUUGCAUAACCUCAAUCCAGGUGGGCAAAAGAUUAUGUCUACAUACUACAGUAAUGAGAAGGGACAACAUGACAUGAAACUCGUCUGAGACACAGAUGAGUCUAUGACUUGUUGAAGUUGUAAAGGUAAUAGAUACGAAGCUGGGUUCUGCAAUCUCGAAAAUGGGGGUACCCACAAACCAUUAGAGCACUGGAAACAUAUAAACACUUAAAAUGUCACUCAGCUGCACCCACACAAUGUAGCUGGAAGUUGAUUUUUUAAAGAAAUGAAAUUUAUACUCAAGUGUGGUUCAUAUAAAUUAGAGUUACAAGUAAUAGAAAAUGAGUUAUUACAAUUUUUGGUAAUGGUUCUUAUAUGUUAAUAGAUUUGUAUAUGGUUUCUAACUAGGAAGAAAUUAAAAAGAACUUUUGGAACUUACUUGCUAGUUUAUUAUACUGCUAACUUUUACAAGAAGAAAUAGAUUCCUUCAUUCUUCUGUAUUACAUGGUUAACAGCAACAACUUAGGAGAAAAAGACACCUAGAUUGAUAUACUACCUCAAUCUCUUUCUAGUUUUGUGACCUUACCAAGACACUUAAGCUGUCUGUGACUUUAGCUGUUAAAAAGUGAUUACUGGGUGUGGUGGCUCACACCUGUAAUCCCAGCACUUUUGGAGGCCUAAGCAGGAGGAUUGUUUGAGUCCAGGAGUUCCAGACCAGCCUGGUCAACAAAGUGAGGCUGCAGUGAGCUGUGAUCGUGCCACUGCACUGCAGCAUGGGCGACAGAGCAAGAUCCUGUCUCAACAACAACAAUAAAAGACGUGAUCAUACCUACCUCAUAGGAUUUUGUAAGGAUCAAAGAAUUAAAGAAAAUAGCAUAAUGCCUAACACAUAGUAAGGACUCAAUAAUUGAAAGCUAUUAUAAUUGUGGUUCGAUGUAUUCUCCCCCUGCCCUGCUAAUUUUAAAUUAUUUACUUCGCGUUCCUGAAAAUGCAUUGCUAACUGUAUUAUGUGUAGAUAAAGUGGCUGGGAGCUUGAUAGCUGUAGCAAUGUUUUUGCAAAUAUUGUAGAUGAAAAUAAAGCUAAUUUUGGAAGGGAAUGGGGAAAGAUGUAAAUUUUAGUUUUACAUUAUUUAUUGUGUACUAAAACCUGUAUGAAGGUCCCUACUUAAGUCUAAGGUCAGGAUCUCAUGAUCCAUUUUGAUUAGCUAAGUUUGCUCAAGCCAAAGGACUUUAUUGCUUCAUGCUAACCAGUCUGCCAUGCAGUACAAAGACUGCAAUAAUAAAAUUGUGAUUUCUUGCUCCUCAGUUGCCUUGCAUCAGCGAAGGGCACACAAUGCAGGCUUUGGGUUGUGAUUAACCGUAAGGGUCUGCCCCAAGAACAGAUAACAGCAGACUGCACUCAGCUAAAUAUGCUUCUAGGUAAUGCAGGAGUUUCCACCAGCCUACUCUAAUCACACAGGUUUCUCUUUCCCUUUCUAGGACUGUCUACCCUUGAACUGGAAGUAGGCAGAAUGUAAAGAGAGGAGUUGCUGGAUACUUUUAAAGGCACUGAAAAAUUCAAGUUAAAGUUAUAGUUGAGGGGUAGUAGCCUCACUAGCCUAUCUUGAGUAAGGGUCAUGUCUCAUUCAUUUUUGUGUCUUCAAUGUCGCAACAGAGCUCUGCAUUCAAUAUAUUUGUAAAUAUAUGAAUUCACAAUUUUGAUUUUCUGAAAUGUCACGUGUGAGGACACUACCAGUUUUCAAAUAAAUACACCUUUUAAAGUACAGUUAUGUGCCAAAUAACAAGGCUUCAGCAAUGAAUGGAUCGCAUAAACUAUGGUGAUCCUAUAAGAGUAUAUGACUGUACCUUUUCUAUGUUUAGAUAUGUUUAAGUACACAAAUAGUUACCACUGUGUUAUAAUCGCCUACCGUAUCCAGAAUGGCAACAUGCUGUACAGGUUUACAGCCUAAGAGCAAUAGGCUACAUCAUAUAGCCUGGGUGUGUAGUAGGCUAUACUAUCUAGGUUUGUGUUUAAAUACACUCUAGGAUGUUCCCUAAGGGAUGAUUAACCUAAGGACACAUUCCUAAGAACAUAUCCCCAUCUUAAGUGAAGCACUACUGUAGUUGCUUUUGAAAUGUGUGACCUAUGGUGUAUUAAGAGGAAUACCGUGUGCCAAGAAGUGACGCUAAGCGUUUUACCUUACAACUGAGUUAAGUAAAAUUUGGAAACUUGGUUUCGAGGUUAAUACAUGAAAGGCGACACAGGUAGUAUGUGACAGAGGGUAAGAAUUGAAUCCAGGUCUACCUGACUCUUAAUCACAAGACAAAAAGUCUUCUAUUAAUUCCGCAAAAUCUGGUCAGCCGCUUCAAUGCGCAGCUUUAGGCAGUCCACACCUGGAAUUUGGGGUCUGGUUUACCAAGAACAGCCAGUGUGUACACCCACUCCAUCCUAUCCAGGAACUGGAAUCGAGAAGGUAAAAACGUGGCUAUUGCGCAUGCUCACACCGCCCUUCCUUGCUCUCCCCUCCCUGACCCUAGAUGCCACCGCAGCAACUUUCUGGGAGGAUUUUGGAACGGCUCCCGCCAACUGUUAAGUCAAACCGGCGGAAAUCCUUCCUUUCUGCGACGUGGACACCUUUCUCAUCCUCGGGCCUUUCCAACCAGGGUGCAGAAACCACGCGCCUCCGUUUCUCAGGGAUUCAAGCCGUAGUUUGCCAGUUGUUAAUAUGGCCGCUGACAGGCCGCUCCCAAGCUGAGGCCUUUCAUAGGCCAAGAUCGCAUCCUGUCCCCGCCUAUUUUGUCCCUCGUGGCUGCGUCCGCCCAGCUCUUCGCUACGCAUGCGCAGCGGGGGCAGGCUGGGAGGUGGGACUGACUGAGUCUUCCGUGUGUCGCCGCCGUUGCCGCCUCAGCUUCAGCCUCGUUACUCCUGCGGUUCUGUGACUGUGCUGCUGGCGUUAACGGCGCGAGGUGAAGGGAGGUGACGGAGUGUGCCCGCGCGCGCGGGGGUCCCCUCAGUCCCAGCAGUUCCCUUCGUGCGCGGGGGGCGGCGAGGGUCUUCAGCAGUCGGGAGAGGCCCUUGACGGCGCCAUGUCGGCGGGCGGUCCAUGCCCAGCAGCAGCCGGAGGGGGCCCAGGGGGCGCCUCCUGCUCCGUGGGGGCCCCUGGCGGGGUAUCCAUGUUCCGGUGGCUGGAGGUGCUGGAGAAGGAGUUCGACAAAGCUUUUGUGGAUGUGGAUCUGCUCCUGGGAGAGAUCGAUCCAGACCAAGCGGACAUCACUUAUGAGGGGCGACAGAAGAUGACCAGCCUGAGCUCCUGCUUUGCACAGCUUUGCCACAAAGCCCAGUCUGUGUCUCAAAUCAACCACAAGCUGGAGGUGAGCCGUGGGUGCUGGCGGCUAUGGCAUCCAACCCCAGGCUGCCCGGUGGCGUCAGAUGCCAUUUAACGCUCCAGUGAAACGACCCUAGAAAACUGCCCACCGGGGCUUCAAAUGUGAUGGGAGAGUGCAUGUCUGAGGAGUGAGGUGAGGGUGGGGGACAAAAAGGGCCCUAGACCGACGUGUGAGUUCCCGGGGUACUGUCGUCCACCUUCCUAGUAUCUCUCUGAGGAGGAAACUAAUUACAUACACCAGCCUCCAUUGCACAUGUUACAUUAACAAACCUAACAAAGAUUCUCUGUCAUGAAAAUACCGUAGGCCACCUUUUGACAACUGAGUUUUGCAGAUCUGCUUUCACAUUGAUAAACCGAAUUUGUAUAUGUUAAGACAGAUACAGCACUGAUUAUUUUCAUUUUAAUUAUUCCAGGUCAGCGCCUAUGAUUGCAUACAGAGACAUGCAUAAACUAUUUAGGGGAAUCUGAUCAAAGCUCUUAGGAAAAUUUCGUGGUGCAUAACGAUAGUAUCACUGUCUCGGUUUACAUCCAUAGUUGGUUGUUAAAUUACAGGCAGAUACCUCCAGAGAGCUCCCUGCAAUUAUUGAAAUUACUUCUGACCUUGAGUUUUUAUAUGCUUGUACAUUACUGUGUAAUUUUCCAAAGUCUGGAUUUAUUUUUGAGAGAGUGUAAAGAAUCAUUUGCUUUAAUCUCUGAUCCUGGGUGUGGGUGAGGGUGGAGUGGCUGUGGUUCAAAAAAACAAAAAUAUCAUAUUGUGCAGAAAAUUUAAAAAGGACAUUAUUAAAAUAUUUAGAAAUCAAGAUAGAUUAACAUUAUUGCAUAAAGAGUACUUUCUAACUAGGCAAUUUAAGAGAAUGGGUCUUUCUUUUCAAAAAGUGUAAUAGAUAAAAAUGGGAUAAUCAGUGAUGUGCAAAACUCUGAACAUGCUUUCCUAAGAAAUCAUCAUUACUCGUUGUCAUUGACAGUGCCCAUUAUAUCUAUAUCAAUAUGAAUGUCAGUUAAACAUCCUCUCCUUGCCUAGUGGUCAGCAUUCUUUCUCUCCUAUUAGCCAUGAAAUAUGUGGCAUAAUUAAUCUUUGAUUAACAUAGAUUUACAUAUCCAAGAAUUGUGGCUCUUCUCCACUGCGAGAACUGUUAAUUUCUUCUAUCCUUUUUGAAAAGAUUAGAAAGUGCUAAUAUGAAGGUAAUCACUUCUUACUGUAGGUAAAUGAAAACAUCUCUUGAUUUCUUUAUUGGUAGUAAUUUCCACAAGAAAGCUAUUUUUCUCAGAUAGUGAAAUUGCAUUUAAUGUUUUCUAGAAAUAGUACUUUAACUUUAUUUCAUCUUAUUUUAUCUUAUUAUAUUUUUUUCAAAAAAGAGAUGGAGUGCUUUGUUGCCCAGUUUGGUCUUGAAUUCCUGGCCUCAGGUGAUCCUCCUGCCUUGGCCUCCCAAAGUGCUUUGAUUACAGACAUGAGCUACUGUGCCUGGCCAUUAGUUCUCUAGCUUUAAACAACAAAGAUCAAGAGUAGCCUUUACCACAUGGUAUAAUUCGAAUGUGUCCCCCAAAUUUCGUGUAUGGGAAACUUAAUCCUCAAUGUGACAGUAUUGAAUCUCCAAUGUGGGGCCUUUAAGAGGAGACUGGAUCAUGAGUACUCUGUUCUUAUGAAUGGAUUAAUCCACUUAUAGAUUGAUUUGUUAUUGGAUAAAUGGAUGAAUGAGUUAUCAUAGGAGUGUAGAACUGGUGGUUUAUAAGAAGAGGAAGAAAGACCUGAGUAAGCAUGUUAGCAUGCUCAGCCUCCUUGCCAUGUGACACCCUAUGCUGCCUCCAUACUCUGCACAGAUCCCCUGCCAGCAAGAAGGCUCUCGACUUCUCGAGAUCUGGCCCCUCGACCUUGGACUUCUCUGUCUCCAUAACUGUAAGAAAUACAUUCCUUUUCUUUAUAAAUUACCUAGUUUCUGGUAUUCUGUUAUAAGAAACAGAAAGUGGACUAAAACAUCACACGAGAAAUUUCAUAUCAUUUACAACUGCAGUAUCAACUGGGCA